rnacentral:lncRNA from 1 species
ACCGGAGGGAGCUUGAUCCGCCUGGUCAGCUCCUUCACCAGUGGGUCUACAAGCGCCGUCGGGAGGAAUGUGAGCGUCGUGCCGGAGUCGACGAGGACGGGGGACUGGUCCGGCGCCGCGAAGGUCGCGUUCCCGACCUUGAGGGACUGGAGCUCGACGAUGUAGUAUGCCUUCACUCUGGAUGGGAUCAGCGGCGUCGUCGCCGCUCCCGGAUCCGUGACGGCGGCCCGGGGGCCGAAGUUGAGCGCGGACGAGGCCUUGACGGAGUAGGGCACGAGGCAGUAGGAGAACCUCCGGCCCAGCGAGGUGUCUGCGCCGAGUUGACUGACGAGGGAGAGGUCGCCGCCGCCGAGGCCGACGAUGCCGUCCCCGACGGACGAGCCGACGAAGGUCGUGGAGCAGCCCAAGUUGACUUUGGCCACGCGCGUCGUCCCAUCGCCGUGGGCGCCCGGGGCGUCGGCGAAGGUGAAGGUCUCUGUGGAGAGGAGGCCGCUCGUUUGGGAGCCGUCGCCGUAGGAGUAGAUGUACGUGCACUUGGAGUUGGCGUCGCAGGAAUGGGAGUCCUCCGGGAGCUCGCUGCACGUGCCGGAGUUACAGUCCACGAGGCCGAACGUCGUCGAUUUGGAGGGGUCGAACUGGACGCCCGGCGGCUGCGCGUCCGCGUCACGGGCGGCCGCCAGACCAGGACCGUCGCCUCCGUAUCUGCAAUUGAGCCAGGUGAGGUCGCUGCCGGUGUCGGCGAUGGCGACCAUACGAGUGGGCGGCGUGCCUAUGUUCACUGCCAUCAGGUACUCGCUUGUCCUGGACGUGACCUCGGACACGAAGCCGUCAGCUGAGGGCGCGUCGGCGCGGACGUAGGAGCGCGAGAGCGCCGCGGCGCGGGCAGCGGACCGCCGCGCGGCCUCCAGCGCGCGGGCGGGCGCGGUGAGCGUCGGGUCGUGGAACGGCGACCUGACGGAGUCACGGUGGAUGAACUCCACGCUAAACCCAUCGCCGCCACUGCCGGCGUACGCCGUGUACGCGCACAGCUGCGCCGUCAGGGCGACGCCGACGAGCAGGAGAGCGCGGGAUACCAUCGUCCCAUGCAUUGUGUCCCAAGGAUUAGCUCUACUGGGGUUGCUUUGCUGCCGCUGCUUCUAUGCGGAGAGCGGUAUUUAUAGGCGAAUUUGCAUAAGAUUAUAACGGUAGAUGGUUAAUGGGGAGGCGAGUGUGGUAAGUCGGGAUAUGAUAUGGAGUACUAGUCAUGAUUCAUGAACUGUUGAGUGUCAUUUAGCAGCUCACCGCGUUAUCGUGUCAUACGUAUUGCACGUCUGUGUCAUUAAUCUUACACGGAGAUUUAUCUGAGUAUUUUUCUCUUCGAUUUUUCCUUUUCUUUUUAUGCUUCAUUAAGUCACUUAGAUGUGCGAUAAUUACUUGGUGUGUCAAUGCUAUCACUUUUAUGUUUCAUUAAGUCAUCUGAGUAAUUAAGUCACCCAGACAGACCCUAUGGUAAUUACGCGUUGCGCACUACGCAUGGAAUCAAGGGUUGAUAGUGCGGUUUGCACUGCUCUUUUUGCGUAUGAAAUUGAAGACUUUUGAAGGUAGCAAUUUCUAAUCUUGUACAGCUAAUUUGUAGAAGGAGGAUUAUCUCCGGAAGAUCGGCCACUCGAGUGGCAAGAAGAGGCAGUGUUUGAUUGCUUGGUGCCACCGGCCACCUGGAAAAUUUAUAGUAAUCGUUUUCCCGUUUAAGCAUCCUUUUGUUCUACGUCUCGCUCUUCAUGUCAGGCUCAUUGAGAAAUUCCAUUCCGCACUUUUCUGCGGCAAAUAUGCAAUCCGUUACACUUCCACUUUAGCUACAUGUUAGCCAGCUGAAUUUCAAAUUUGGAUCAACUGAUUUUGAAUGAAGGACGAAGAAGGAAGGGCCUCGCCGGAGAGAAGGAGGGGCUCAGUGUCAUCGGGGGUGUAUCUGGUGCACCGGUGCACCGUCCCCCGUUGCACAUUCCAAAAUGUUCUAGAAAUAAAAAAAAUAGUGCAUUAACAUAACAUCAAUGUAUGUUGUGACAAAAAUUCAAAACAUUGCUCGAGAUACAAAAAUGACAAAUUUGAAACUGGAUAGUACAUAACACAGGUUGACUUCAAUUUUGGCUUAUUAGCACAUCAAUGUCAAAUUUUUUAUUUUUGUAUCUCAAGAAAUUUUUUAAACUUUGAUUUGAAUUUUUGUGUCAACAUAUAUUGAUGUUAUGUCAAUGCACUAUUUCUUUACGGAAUUUUUUGAAUUUUUUUGGAAUGUGCAACGGGGCCCGAUGCACCAGUCACUACAAAGAAAAGACACAUCCGUGACAUUUUGAACCGAAGGAAUUUUUUUCUUUCAUACUUAUGACACUUCUAUGACGAUAAUUGUGACAAAACCUAGUAUCAUCAUAGAUGUGGUGGGCUCCUACUUCUAUGACAAAAAAUCAUGACAGAAAAUGGGCUUUUCGUCCUGGGCGGGCCGGAGACGCAGCUGCAUGACAUUCUUUAGGUUGUACAUGACGGAAAAACCCGUGGUAGAAGCGAGGGCGAGGAAAAUUUCGGCGAGUUCCCGGUUACGGUGGGUGGUCGGGGGCCGAGCCAUGCACGUUUCUCUCGUACACGUAUGCGCGUGUGUGCGAGGCAUUGGGCUCUAACUGAACCCGAGCGAGGCGUCGCCUAACUGAACACGAGCGAUUGCACUGCAGGCUACGCGUUACUAAACCCGAGCGAUCAAGCGAUUCCUUCGCUACUGCUGCUAACUGAAGCCGAUCGAUGCUGGCUCUGGAUGAACAGUGAGCGCUGCGGGAGGGGGGGGUGGAUGAACAGUGAGCGGUGAGGGUGGAUGAAUAGGAUCCCAUGGCGUUGCCUCUGGAUGAACAGGACCCCGAUCGAUCGAGCCGGUUGGGGCUGGAUGAACAGGACCCCGUGGAGGGCUGGAUGAACAGGACGACCCCGUGGAGGGCUGGAUAAACAGUAGACGAUGGAGGGGUGGAUGAACAGUAGCCCGUGGAGGGAUGGUUGAACAGGAGCCCGUGAAGAGGGGUGGUUGAACAGUAGCCGGUGGAGUAGCGCGCGGUGGAGGCUGGAUGAACAGGAGCCCGUGGAUGAACAGUCGCAGGUGGAGGCUGAAGGAGGUCGACGGUGGAUGAACAGUAGCCCGUGGAGGCUGGAGGAGGUCGACGGUGGAGAUGAACAGUAUCCCGUGGAGUCCCGUUUUGCGGUACGCCACACCCCUCCCGAUGAACAGGACUCCCGUUUUGACCGUAGCGCUCCAACACAAGUCCGUUUCGUCCGUUUUGCGGUACACCGCACCCCUCCCGAUCAACAGGACCCCGUUUCAACCGUAGGAGGUCCAACACAAGUCCGUUUCCUCCGUUUUGCGGUACGCCAGACCCCUCCCGAUGAACAGGAUCCCGUUUCGAACGUGGCCGGUCAAACACAAGGCCGUUUCCACCAUUCUGCGUACGCCAGGCCUCGUUUCUAUCACUUGUUCCGUCCAAGCCCUCCUGAUGAACACGACGACGCAUUCCGUUCUGACCCAGCCGGUUGGCUCCCCAUGAACACGACGACGACGCAGUUUCUCCGUUCCGACCGAGCCAUGUACACGAGCCCUGACCGUACGUAUGUGCGAGUAGGCGUUCGAGACCCCGCCUGUAUGUACAUAUGUGGCCGUAUUUAAUUUCUUGCACCCUGGCCGUUGUACGUACGUGUGCAUGCUACGUGCGCGCCUCUACUAUGACACGUGCGCGCCUCUACAUCCAUCAGUAUGUACGUACACGUUUGCGACCAGAAUGACAACGCUACGUACGCUUUGACCAGGUGGGUCCCGACUGUCAGGCACUUCCUUGCGUGCGAAGAUGUAGCUGGUGGGUCCCAGCAGUCAAGGGAGCGAAUUGUUUUUUUGCCCGGACGCACUUCCUUGCGUGCGAAUAUGUAGCUGGUGGGUCCCAGCAGUCAGGGGGGAAACAUUUUUUCGCGAAAUACGGUGGCCUGUCGGUGGGUCCCUGCUGUCAGGUGGAGGAAUAAUUAUUUUGCGCGUAAUAAGGAGGCACUUCCUUGUGGCCGUCGUGGACCCAGCUGUCAGCCUCUCCACAUACAAUACUCUUCCGAUGGAAGUCGUUCCUUGACCACGUUGACCACGCCGCAUGAAGAGCACCAGGGCGGUGGACGACGGCGAGGCCUAGGAAGGGGACAACACAGAGCCGUGGAAGACGCGACAGUGGAAGCCCGCGUAGAGAGGAGUACGAGGGUUCACUGGUUCGGCUGCGGUGUGAGGCUGCCGUCGCCGUAGGGCCUGGCCACCAGUGGGAAUAGUAGGGGACGGUGAGGCCUCCGCGGCAGCAUAGCCAACCACGGGAGCCGGAGCAUGCGGCAAGACCGGCGCUGCUUUGGGCGGCUGGAGCAAGAAGACCAGAGGUUGAAGAAGCACUACGGCCAUUGGAUGGACAUCGUACGGUCACUGGAGCUAGAAUCGUUCAUAUUGACUUAGUUGACAAAGCCCUCCGUCCCCAUCAACUUACUACGCCCACAAGUCAGCCUCCCACCAAGGUGGGUCCCAGCUAGCAGGGGGAGUAUUCAUUUUUUUGUGCUUAAUGAGGAGGCACUUCUGGUGGUCCGAGCUGACAGCGGGGGGAAUGUUUUUUUUGCGAAAUAUGGUGGGUCCACAAGUCAGCCACCAAAUCUGCCGGGUCCCAGCUGUCAUCGACAGGAAUAGUUUUUUUUGCAUAACAAGGAGGCACUUCCUUCCGUGCGAAGAUACAGCCGGUGGGUCUGAGCUGUCAGGGGAAGGAAACAACUUAAUAAGGAGGAAAUUUCCUUGCGUGCGACCAUGGACCUCGUGGGUCCCAGCCAUCAGGCUCUCAUGUACAGUCCUCUUCCGAUGACUCUCGUUUGUUGACCACGCAGCGUUGAGCGCAGCGAGGCGGUGGACGACGACGAGGCCCUAGACUGGAACGACCCGGAGAUGGGGAAGACGCGGCAGUGGAGUCGCAGACGGAGAGGAGUGGGAAACUUGACUGGUUCAGGUGCGGGUGGGCCUACACUCGGCAGAGAAUAACAGGAGGUGUGGAGUGGAGGGAUGGCCUGGCCGUCGGUGGAGUAGCGUUUCGCUGCGAGGCACGCAAAACAAUGCCACUGGACACCGGAGGUUGGAGCAGGCGGUCCCGGCAGCAUUGGGGAAAGAAGACGAGAGAUUGAAGAAGAAUGCCGACCAUUGGAUGUAAAUCCAACGCCUUGCUUAGGCUUCGACCUACUGGCCCACAUGUCAGCCAGUCCAUUUGUUUUUUAGUCCAUUUGAUGGGCUGGGUGAAACAAUGAUGUAGCAUCUAUGCAGCCGUUUAUAUAUAUGGUAGAAUUUAAAUCUCAUUUGCAUUUUUCUUGAAAUCCGCAACUUGCUGGGCUGGGUGAAAAUAUCAUGUUGGGCUGGACGGAGAAAUGUUAUAAAAAUAGAAACACAUGAUUGCACGUCUAUUACUGCAUUGGUCAGUAAAAUCUUUGCAAGCUUAUGUACGCAACCACUAGGAGUUAACUUGCCAAAUUAUAUAUAAACAAUUAUUAUUAUUAUUUUAUAAGAACUUUCAGUUUAUGAAAUAAAAUAUCAUUUUAAUUUGAUGAGUUAAUAGAACGUGGGGUAUUAUUAUUUUUUAGGCUAGACGUGGGACAGUUGAGUUGGUUCUAGGGAAAUGUACUGAGAGAAAACUCAAUUUACAUCAAAAAGAAAGAGGAAGAAAAUUCAAAUAUAGGAUUAAUGAAAACAAAAAAUAAAGGAAGUGGGAAGGUCUAUAAAAUGGUUGGACGAACAACAAGUUUAAUGGAACCUUAUGUUACAUAUAUAUAUAUAUAUAUAAUAAAAUAAGAUAUAUUAUUAUUAUUAUUAUUAUUAUUAUUAUUAUUAUUGAAGGGAAAACAUAGGUUCAGUUUUGCAUUCUUAUAGAAAAAAAGAACUGAGUUGUGCGUCGUCUUGAAAAAACAAACAUAACUUGGGCUGCUGAUGUUAUAGACAAGCUAGGUUGGGAGGCCCAGAGGCCGCUAGAUCCAAAAAACGUUGAAACAUGUCAUGGGCUGCCCAUGUUAAAAAAAUGAGACCAAUCCAAGGGCUGAUCCUCGUUGGCAUUUUUUAUAGGAGAAACUCCGCGAGCACCACACGUCCAAGCCGGGACUUGAACUCGGGUGGGCUGGCAGCAACCUCAAGCUGCCCAGCCAACGGGUCGACGGCCCGUCCUCGUGGGCUGCCCAUGUUAAACAACAAAACCUAGGCCAUGGACCUGGUGGGCCCGGGACUGUUAGCUUCUCGACGAACAGUUGUUUCCCGAUUCCUCUUAUUUUGAUGACCAUGUUGGGAAUGACAGACAGCGGCGCCACUGCGACAACACCAAGGUGGAGGACGACGUCGAGACCGUGGACCGAACGAACCGGAGCGGGGGAAGACGCAGGCGAAGGGGAGUACGAGGGUUGACUUGUUCGGAUGCAGGGUGGCCAGUGGAGAUCCUUGGUAUCAUUGUCUUCUUUCAUGUUGGCGUAGCAGGGGUUGAUGAUGGUCUCGGCGAGGUCAACCACGGAGUCCUUCUCCUGCCCAUUCCCGAUGAUUUUGUAUUGCUUCUGGAUGUCGACAAGCUUGCUGCACCAGAUGACUGAGUCGUCGCGUUCUUCCUUCUCUCCACCAUAGCAAAGGUGCAGUCGGCGCUGCCAAUGAAAUGAACGAAUGCUCCAGAACCUCUGAUGGCCCUACAACAGUGGUAGACGAGAAUCUCGUCCCGCACGCAUACCCGGGCGACCACGAUCCACUGGUCCCUGUCAGGAGAUGAAUGGAUGGGCACAAGGUCUAGUCCUGCGACCUUGUGCUUUCUCGUCCUGUAGGUACUGCUUGAACUCGGCGAGGCAGAGCUUCACCGAGUCCGGAUCGUUCGUGUACAUCACAUUCAACUUGGUGCCGCCAUGGGACUGAACAGAGAACUCAAAGGUGAACUCCUUGCUGAAGUCCAUAUCCAGCAGGCUCACCCCUCGGAUCGGCAUUGGAGUAUCUUCAAGUGAACGAGUGAGUAGGCGACAACAGCAGUUAGUUUUUCAGCUCUUGGGGAACUGGAUUCAACAGUAAACUGAGUGUGUAUAGGCGACAACAGUUACGACCCCUCCCUCACCCACUGCACGCCCUACAGAAUUGUUGGGGUACGUAGUAAUUUCAAAAAAAUUCCUACGCACACGCAAGAUCAUGGUGAUGCAUAGCAACGAGAGGGGAGAGUGUUGUCCAUGUACCCUCAUAGACUGAAAGCGGAAGUGUUAUCACAACGCGGUUGAUGUAGUCGUACGUCUUCACGAUCCGACCGAUCCAAGUACCGAACGUACGGCACCUCCGAGUUCAGCACACGUUCAGCUCGAUGACGUCCCUCGAACUCCGAUCCAGCCGAGCUUUGAGGGAGCGUUCCGUUAGCACGACGGCGUGGUGACGAUGAUGAUGUUCUACCGACGCAGGGCUUCACCUAAGCACCACUACUCCUAGAUCACCAUUGUACCCCCUUGCCAAAUCAGGGCAUAGUAUACAAUAGGUCUGGUCCAUAGCAUGGCAUAUUUUUAUAGAACCUAUGACCGAGGCAUAAGGAAUGACUUUCAUUCUCUUUCUAUUUUCUGCCGUGGACGGGAUUUGAGUCUUACUCAAUUUAAUACCUUUGCAACACAGGCAAGAACUCUUUCUUUGAGUGUUCCAUUUUGAACUACUUCAAAAUCUUGUCAAGGUAUUUACUCAUUGAAAAUCUUAUCAAGCGUCUUGAUCUAUCUCAAUAGAUCUUGAUGCUCAAUAUGUAAGUAGCUUUACUGAGGUCUUUCUUUUAAAGAACUCCUUUCAAACACUUCUUUAUGCUUUCCAGAAAAAUUCUGCAUCAUUUCUGAUCAACAAUAUGUCACUUACAUAUACUUACCAGAAAGGUUGUAGUGCUCCCACUCACUUUAUUGUAAAUACAUGCUUCACUGCAAGUCCGUAUAAAACCAUAUGCUUUGAUCAACUCAUCAAAGCGUAUAUUCCAACUCCGAGAUGCUUGCACCAGUCCAUAGAUGGAUCACUGGAGCUUGCACAUUUUGUUAGCACCUUUAGGAUUGACAAGACCUUCUGGUUGCAUUAUAUACAACUCUUCUUUAAGAAAACCAUUAGGGAAUGCAGUUUUGACAUCCAUUUGCCAGAUUUCAUAAAAUGUGGCAAUUGCUAACAUGAUUCGGACAGACUUUAAGCAUCGCUACAGUUGAGAAAAUCUCAUUGUAGUCAACACCUUGAACUUGUCGAAAAAACCUUUUGCGACAAGUCGAGCUUUGUAGAUAGUAACACUACUAUCAGCGUCUGUCUUCCUCUUGAUGAUCCAUUUAUACAAUAUGGCUUGUCGAUCAUCGGGCAACUCCACCAAAGUCCACACUUUGUUCUCAUACAUGGAUCCCAUCUCAGAUUUCAUGGCCUUAAGCCAUUUCGCAGAAUCUGGGCUCAUCAUCGCUUCCUCAUAGUUCGUAGGUUUAUCAUGGUCUAGUAACAUGACUUCCAGAACAGGAUUACCGUACCACUCUGGUGCGGACUGUACUUUGGAAGACCUACGAGGUUCUGUAGUAACUUAAUCUAAAGUUUCAUGAUCAUCAUCAUUAGCUUCCUCACUAAUUGGUGUAGGAAUCACUGGAACCGAUUUCUGUGAUUAACUACUUUCCAAUUCGGGAGAAGGUGCAAGUGUUAGUGGUCAGUUUACUUAAAUUUAAUUAGCUAUAAUUAAAAUGUAUUCUUAAAACAAGCAAUGCAUUGGCUCGUUCUAUCAAUGCCACAAGAUCAACAUGCACAACAAUUAGAAUUAUUAUUCUCAGAACGCACAUGAUCAGCACAUUUGCCGCACUUUCACAUAGACAAUACUACCAAGUCUGAACAUUUUGUUAUGGUUGCUGUCCUCUGCAUUAUCAUGCCGUGUUUCCUAGCUUGCAAGAUUCAGAACCAACAAAUAAGAUUCAAAUAAUAAGUACAACAAAGAUGCAUGCCUACACAUCUCAUUGAUUCUCAGCUUUCAAGAUUCAGAACCAACAAAUAAGAUUCAAAUAAUAAGUACAACAAAUAUGCCUACAUAUCUCAUUGAUUCCCAGCUUGCAAGAUUAAGAACCAACCAAUUAGAGCCUUUUGAUAAAGUGAAUAUCGGGAUUAAAUCCAUCUUGGCUAGCCGUGUCAUACAACCCAAGAACUUGGCGAAUGCUCUUGACCAUCACAACAUCUUGUAGUAGAGUAUUGUUGUUUGCACAGAUAAGAAAGAGCAUGGGUUUAGGACUCUAGCAGCCGUAGAGAUGGUUGUACAAAAUUGGCCUUUUCUUUUGGCCACCAAUUCUAUCUAUGUUCCUGAUGCGUCAGUCUUUGACGCAUCCCUUGAAAUUACUAUAAUAGUGGCACUAGUUGAAGCAAACUUUAUUUUCAAAACGAGAAAAGAUUGUGAUAGAAUAGCUUUAUUUAAAAAAUACAACAUUGGCACAACAUGACAAAGCACAAUCAUGUUGAUAAAGGACAGUACUGACCGGUGUGAGGGGCCCUAUGCCGCCAUGACUCGAUCUGGUGAACGUGCAACUCCACUCGGAUGAGGUCAACCUCCAGCUCCAUGAUUCAAUUCAUGCGCCUUUUUCUGCAGUUCACCUGAAAUGAAGCAAAGAUUGCAUCAUUCAGCUAGCAAGAAGUACUUGCUCACGUGAGCUAGCAGGUUCUUCUUUAGUAGUUGCACUAAAAUUGAGCAACAUUAAGGUUGGCUAUCCUGCUCAUGUAAGGUGCAACUAUAAUUUGCUUAUCCUUUUGUGCAGUUCCACUAAAAUAAAGUGCCAUUGUGGUGACAGUGAUGACUCAUCUUGCAAAGGCUAAUAAAAUGUUGCACGAGAUUACCAACAGAAUUUGACAGAGAUUUUGGGAACUCCAGUCACCAUUUUGUGCAGUUCUACCAAAAUUGAGAGAUGUUGCCCACCUGACAUUUUUGUUGAACUGCACAAGACACUCAUUCCAAAAAAGUGUUUUGUGCAGUUCACCAAAAGGUCACAAUAGCAACAAGGUGAAAUUGAUAUCCCUAUCUGCACAAAAAGAUAGAAAGUAAACAAUUGCUGGUCAAUAAGAAUAUAUGAAACAUACACGAAAUGAAAAGAAGCAUCUUAAUUAUGUUCAUGGCAAUCACCAAGGAUGGUAGAGAUUUUAAAACGUCAGUAAUGCUUCAUGUUAUUGGAAGCAUUACGAUCAAGUAUGACAUUUGUCAAAUAUGGUAUUUCUUUAAUUGUGGCAUUGCUUGUUUACCAGAUACAAUAAAUCAACAGCAGCUAAAGAGUUGGUUUAAGGGCAUGGGACCAUGGGGACACCAGGUCACUCAACGGCGUAAAGAAGCAACUUACUUAUCAUACUUGGGAAAACAGCAGGAGUACCAUUUGUUAACACAAUUUAAUUGCAUCAUAUCACUAGAGGCAUUAGAUUAACAAUAACACUGGUUAGACAUGUCCUUAAGAUAACAGUGUGAUCGCUUCAUUUUACGCGCGCCCUUACAUUAACAACAGCAAAAGGUUGGUAUAAGGACAUGCGACAGUGGACGCAUCAGCAUAAAGUACCUACAAAGAGGCAUAAAGUGGUGAUGCCGAGUUUGUUCAUGCUCUGUGAGGGCAGCAAAUCUAAUCCUGGAGAACUUUUACUAUGUGAGGUCAGCAAAUCUAAUCCUAGAGACCUUUUACUAUGUGAGGGCAGCAAAUCUAAUCAUGAAGACCUUUUACUAUGCGAGGGCAACAAAUCUAAUCUUGGACAUACUCUGUUGACUUGUCCACUAGCCGCCACUUUCUGUCCAUUUUCAACCAAUAAUAGAUCUGUUCCUUAUCCAGUUUGUACUGAGUUUUCCCAUUAUUUCCCUUUUCAACCAAGAGACCGGUUGGGUACCCGGUCUCUACUACUUUCCCCUUGUUAUUUCCUCUUUGAAUCAAGUCCUAGAUUCAUGCUACGACCUUCCCCCCUUUCUUCGUUGUUUGAACCAAGUCCUAUAUUCGAAUGCAUGAAGUAGCUUUACCUCUAAUAAUACUAAAAAUUAGGUGGAUUUGGAAGAGUUGAUGGAAGUAGAAAAAUAUGCACAUGCAGACACGUUGGGAGCUGGGGCAGUAGAGCAAGGCCGCUUUUGAAGAACUUGUACCUGAGGUUCGUCGGGAUGUCGGCGGUGGCAUGUCCGAUCUGCGCACAAUAUGGCAGGGAGGAAGAAGGGUCAGAGGACCUCCCGAGUCGGCGAUGUGUCGGAGAGAACGACACGGGCAGAGGAUCGGGCCCCACCGGCAGUUGUGGGUUUCCUCCCUCGGCGGUGAUGACCGCGUAAACGAUGCACCUUUUAGUCCUCUACACACACACACCGGCCGAAGGGAUACGGCCGGAUCUGUGACCAGCGGUGAGCAGAGAGAAAAUGUCGCUACCGAUGUAUUGUUUAGAUCUGGAGAGGACGAGAGAGUGAAGAGAGCAACCCUAGUAAAGCAAGCGCUCAGGCCCCUGCGUACAUAUAUAGUGGAGUGAUUAUCUUUUUCUCUCCACAACAAGCGUUUCAAUUUCUGUACGUGGCAUUAAAGAAAGUAAACUCUCUAUUUAAGGUGACUACUGUACAACUCCUACUUACUACUAGUAGUACUAGUAUUGUUCACUUGUGCUCUCCGCCCCUCCAUUCAUUGAACAACCCCACGGGUGAAUAAACAUACAGUAAAUAUUUAUAUAGAAUGAACAAGCUCGAACUAUUUUUGUGUAGUUAAAAGUUGAGGGCGGGGCUUUUCCCGGGCAGUACGCGCGGCAGUUUUCGGGUAGGCGGGAGGCGAGGAGGGUGAGCGAGUGGCGGAUUCUCAAACAUACUGCUGGAAAGAUUGGGCUAUGCGAUUUGACGACGCGUUACUGCUGGAAAGACUUGUGAUAUGACCACUCACUAUAGUCAUGAACUAUUGACGCUCCGACCGGGGCGAUGCCCCCCUUCCGUUCCGCGCUCUAAUUUGGUGCAUGACACGUCGACCCGGAUGCUGGCUCUCCCACAUGUCGGCGAAGUACGUAGUAGUAAGAAGGAGCAAAGAAUGAUGCAGUAUAUACUACUACUACUAUUCAGGUUGGAGGAGUGCGAACCACGGCAGCUCAGUGAACCAACAGUGCGAACCACGGUAGCCCAGUGAACCAAUAGUAGAAAAUAAUGUGGUGAUAUGGGCAUAAAAAACAAUGUGCUACGGUCCACACUAUAACAUGUACAGUACCACUCCUAUUUGUUUGGAUCCCUGAGUUAGAGCUAGUUUGGGUUGAAAUAGCCUCAAAUUAUCGAAACACGAGGGGUUAGUUUGAGCUAGUUUGCUCUAACCCAGCUAAAAAAACUAGCCUGGUGGAGAGGUUCUAAUUGGGUUAGUUAUCCUCGGGCCCACUAAAAGAGAACUAAAAAAAUCUCCCCUGCCCGCACCAGAUCGCUCCCCCGCUCUCGCACGACUCCUCUCUAUUCCCCAUAGGGCCGCCCGCCCAAGCGCCGCUCGCCCUCUCUCCUCCGGCCGCCCUCUCCUUCCGGCCUCCGCCGCCCUACUCCGGCCUCCCUCUCCCUCCAGCCUUCAAAUGUCGCCCCGCUCCCCCUUCACCGGUCAUUUUUCUCCCUCUGUCAUGCGCGGCGGCAGCGCAUCUACCAGGGAGGUCGCGAGAGGGGUGAGUUUGUUUGUUCCUUCUCUGUCUCAUAGCCAUAUCAUUGAUCUUGCUCGCUCUAGCACUAGUUCUGAUUUGGAAAAGUAGAUCCUGAUAAAACUUGGUAUAGAUUUGUGGUGGACGCAUGGAAUUGUUUGAUGCCGCUUGAGGAGGUAAUAAAUCUUUCUAGAGGCCCAAGGAUUUAGUUCACCUUUCUAUGUAUUUUAGUUCAGGCUUGCAUUAUUUCUAGAGGCCCAAAGAUUCAGUUCACCUUUCUAGGUAUUUCAGUUUCAGGCUUGCAUUAUUUCUAGAGGCCCAAAGAUUCAGUUCACCUUUCUAGGUAUUUUAGUUUCAGGCUUGCAUUAUUUCUAGAGGCCCAAAGAUUAAUUUCCCAGUCGGCGGCAAGCGGCCCUGCUACCCAUGUCGGUGUCGACCUCAACUCGCAAGGGCUGGCGUCGGAGGGGUUCCCGGGGCUUGGGUGUUGGAAAUAUGCCCUAGAGGCAAUAAUAAAAGCAUUAUUAUUAUAUUUCCUUGUUCAUGAUAAUUGUCUUUAUUCAUGCUAUAAUUGUGUUAUCCGGAAAUCGUAAUGCAUGUGUGAAUAACAGACACCAACAUGUCCCUAGUGAGCCUCUAGUUGACUAGCUCGUUGAUCAACAGAUAGUCAUGGUUUCCUGACUAUGGACACUGGAUGUCAUUGAUAACGAGAUCACAUCAUUGGGAGAAUGAUGUGAUGGACGAGACCCAAUCCUAAACAUAGCACAAGAUCGUAUAGUUCGUUUGCUAGAGUUUUGCAAUGUCAAAGUAUCUUUUCCUUAGACCAUGAGAUCGUGUAACUCCCGGAUACCGUAGGAGUGCUUUGGGUAUGCCAAACGUCACAACGUAACUGGGUGACUAUAAAGGUAGACUACGGGUAUCUCCGAAAGUGUCUGUUGGGUGACAUGGAUCAAGACUGGGAUUUGUCACUCCGUAUGACGGAGAGGUAUCACUGGGCCCACUCGGUAAUGCAUCAUCAUAAUGAGCUCAGAGUGACCAAGUGUCUGGUCACGGGAUCAUGCAUUACGGUACGAGUAAAGUGACUUGCCGGUAACGAGAUUGAACGAGGUAUUGGGAUACCGACGAUCGAAUCUCGGGCAAGUAACAUAUCGAUAGACAAAGGGAAUAGCGUACGGGGUUGAUUGAAUCCUCGACAUCGUGGUUCAUCCGAUGAGAUCAUCGUGGAGCAUGUGGGAGCCAACAUGGGUAUCCAGAUCCCGCUGUUGGUUAUUGACCAGAGAGUCGUCUCGGUCAUGUCUGCUUGUCUCCCGAACCCGUAGGGUCUACACACUUAAGGUUCGGUUACGCUAGGGUUGUAGGGAUAUGUAUAUGCAGUAACCCGAAUGUUGUUCGGAGUCCCGGAUGAGAUCCCGGACGUCACGAGGAGUUCCGGAAUGGUCCGGAGGUAAAGAUUUAUAUAUGGGAAGUCCUGUUUUGGGCAUCGGGACAAGUUUCGGGGUUAUCGGUAUUGUACCGGGACCACCGGAAGGGUCCCGGGGGUCCACCGGGUGGGUCCACCUGCCCCGGGGGGCCACAUGGGCUGUAAGGGGGUGUGCCUUGGCCUAAUGGGCCAAGGGCACCAGCCCCACAUAGGCCCAUGCGCCUAGGGUUUAAGGGGACAAGAGUCCUAGGAGGGUAAGGCACCUCCUAGGUGCCUUGGGGGGGAGGGAAACCUCCCCUUGGCCGCCGGCCAUAGGAGAUUGGAUCUCCUAGGCUGCGCACCACCCCCCCUUGGCACCCCUAUAUAUAGUGGGGGAGAGGAGGGACUUCAUACCUGAACGCCCUGGCCUUUGGUUGCCUCCUUCUCCCUCCCCAACACCUCCUACACCUCCGUAGUGCUUAGCGAAGCUCUGCCGGAGUACUGCAGCUCCAUCAACACCACGCCGUCGUGCUGCUGCUGGUGCCAUCUCCCUCAACCUCUCCUCCCUUCCUUGCUGGAUCAAGAAGGAGGAGACGUGGCUGUUCCGUACGUGUGUUGAACGCGGAGGUGCCGUCCGUUCGGCGCUGGUCAUCGGUGAUUUGGAUCACGUCGAGUACGACUACAUCAUCACCGUUCUUUUGAACGCUUCCGUGCGCGAUCUACAAAGGUAUGUAGAUGCAUCUGAUCACUCGUUGCUAGAUGAACUCCUAGAUGAUCUUGGUGAAACGAGUAGGAAAAUUUUUGUUUUCUGCAACGUUCCCCAACAUUGGGCUCUACAGAGCCUUCCUUCAGAGCGACGAUGGCGAGCUCCUCCCUCGGUGCGUGAGGGGCUCCGAGCUCCCUCCCUAUCGUGAAUGACUUCCGUGAUGAGUUAGCUCAUGCUUUGUUUCAUGGAGUGUUUUUUUGUGAAGCUUGAUUGACGACUUGUAUGUUUAAGUGGGACAUCUCAUUUGUAUGGACAAAGUAAAAAUUAUCAUGUUUUGCAUGCUUGAUUUGUAAAGAUGGUUCAUUUAUGUCAAUUGUAAGCGGGAGGAGGCCACAGAAGAGCCGGCCACACCAAAUCUGACAGGAAAUAGGGUCCAAAGUAGUCAAAUGAUUGAGAAAGAGCAUUUAUUGUCAAUCUAACCCUGCCAUCCAUACACCUCUUUGGUUUAGAGUUAGUUCAGGGUUAGAAUCUAACUCUAACCUCUAACUGAGUUAGAGUUCUCCUCGUCUCGGUUCAUCGCCAUCAUACUUUCCCCAUUCCCGUGUUUUCAGUUUCCUGCGAAUCGAAGAGGCCCUUUUUUGCGGGAAAAUCAAAGAGGCCCUUAGACUGGUUUAGGUCUGGUCAUUUUUUAUAAACGUGUUAUGUCCAAAAUUUAAUGAACGUGCUCCAGUUUCUAUGAAAAUAAUCCGGCUUCAUGUAGUAAUUCAUUCAUUCAUUUAUUCUUCUGCGGGGGGUUUGCAUGUAAUUCGUGAGGUCUGGAAUGUAAAGUACCCCGGCAUAUGCUCCGGGUCGUGCAUGCACUACGACCCAGAUGCUCUAUGUCCCACAUGUCGGCGAAUGGGGGCACGUGGAAAUAGCCUAGGAGUACAUAUAGGAGGAUAAAUGCGUGAAAAAAUUUGUAUUGUGAAGCGUAGCUGCGGUUCGAAAAGGAGACCUAAAGUGAUGACAACUAUAGGUCGCUUGCACCCAACUAGUGGUACUAGACAUACGACUAAUUUUCCCUAAAAAAAAAGAGGCACGAGUGCUCAGUACUCCUAUUUUAUCAACACGAGUCCCAUCUAACAACAACGUCUGUGCUACAGCUAGCUCUCCUCGCUCGUUUCUCUCUUCUCAUUCUAAACUCGUCCGACGCCUGGUGGGUGGGGUGGGUUUGCUCAACUACACCUCACAGUGAAAAUGUUACGACUAGAAUAAAAAUGCCAUAUCCUCCCUCCGUUCCUAAAUAUAAGCCUUUUUAGAUACUAUUUCAAAUGGAAUACAACAUACAGAUGUAUGUAGACAUAGUUUAGAGUGUAGAUUCACUCAUUUUGCUCCGUAUGUAGUAGUCACUUGCUGGAAUCUUUAGAAAGACUUAUAUUUGGGAAUGGAGGGAGUACUAUACUAAUAAAACAUCAAGGCCACGAGGCGAUGCAGUGCUGGUUACAGGAGGCAAGAAGAAGAGAUACAUCCAUCAACGACGUCCACCUCCUCGACUUAGGGCGUCGGCCCACCGAACGACGCCUAAGUAGCAGCGACUUUCGUGGCCAGUUCGACGUGCUUCUGAACAAUGGCGUCCAAAGAUUCCAGCCGCUGGAAGAAGGCCAACGUCUUUCUGUCCUCGCUUGCCUUGUAGUGGCCUAUGUAGGUGAUUUCCUCGUAGACAUGGAUGUGCAGGUCGACGGUUUCUUGCAUGGCGAUGCGCUGUGCGGCGAGCGCGGCCUUGAGGUGCACAUUCUUUGUCGCGACCUAUGGCACCUGCAGGGCCACCAGGGUUUGAAAGAGUUCAUCACCAUGGAGGCUGAUGAGGGUGGCAGGCAAUGAGGAGCUUGGGCGCGUGGGCUGGAGCAGUACGGCAAGGUCGUCCAUGCGCUUCUUGACGGUGGUGAACUUGCGGAUGAAGUCACCAGCACCGUCUGGAAACACUACUCGGUGCGGGGCCGCAGGCCGGCGCCUUGGAUGAUUUGGCACAACCGACUGCCGCUCGCGUCCAUCGCCUCCAUAGGUGCUUGUGGCUUCUGGUCACUUGGUCUUGGAUUGGAGUGAGAAGUGUUGCGCAUAGACUUGGGAGUAGAUGGAUUGGAGUGGUAGGGUGCCUUUAUAUGAGAGUCCAAACUCUAUUGCAUUCACAUCGUGCUGGCUCUAUUCUGCUUCUCCAAUUAAUUUCCUCUGCAUGUAACUGAGGAUGCAUCAUUGACCGUUCAACGUCUCGGGAACCGCUACCCUCUCCCUCCUUGGCAUUCAAGCACCUAUGGAGGCGACUACCACUCGUGUCUAUCGCAUGUCAGGAGACGUUCCCGUCGACGCCGAGGUGCCUAUGGUGACUUCAUAAAUUUCAAGAUGAUAGUGUCGUGCGUGUGUGCGUUCAUAGGGGUGAGUGUAUGCGUGUGUAUAUGAGCGCUUGCGUCUGUACCGUGUCAAAUAAAACGUAAAUGCAUGUCAAAAAGAGACUAGUCAGUAUGCUCAAUAUUGUGCACCUCGAAAAGGAAAACGAUAGAACUACGUAUUUAUUUACGGUGAAGAUUCACUCAUUUUGCUCCAUAUGUACUGCGUCUCGGUGUAGUCUAGUCACUUGUUGAAAUCUCUAGAAAGGCAAAUACUCCUUUCUGGUCUAUACUAGCAAGUAGUAGUAUGUACUAGUACAAUAGUGGGCUCACAUAGCAAAUUUGUCUCAUGCAAGAGCCUGGCUAUAUGUGUGCUCCAAUGUUCACAACUGCCACGUUCGGGUUGCUCUUGGCUCUUUGCCUCUUUGAGAAGACGAACAAUGAUGUUACUACUACUGCUUCUAUAGUGUCGAAUCCACUGCUGCAUAUCCAUCCACCGCGAGCGGGAGGGAUAGCUUGUUGUAGUAGUACUAUAAGCAAAAGCCUAUCCUCGUUUGUGAGCAACCGCGCGCAUGGGCGAGGGAGAAGGCGUGUAGUAGUAAAAUCAAGCUUCUCCUCAUUGUACGAGUUGACACGACACAUCAUAGCACUGGCCCCACAUGCUUGCCUCUAAACUUGGCUAAAAGACCCGUAGUGUAGAAUAUAUUUGCUGCAACCUCUAACAUUUACCCACCAUAAAUUAAAAUAUAUAUUCCUGUCUUGACCAGAUGAGCGUGCAAACUACAAUCACCAGGGUGACAGGUAGGGCCAGAAGACUAUUUUAAUUUUUUUUUAAACUUCGAGACGGCCACAUAGCAUGGAGCCGACCCCAACAGUUUUAAGCUUAUAGGCACGUCACACACUAUCCUAGACUAGUCUACACAUGAAACUGCCACACGAGCGUCCGGGCUGCGCUUGGCUCUUCGCCUCUUCGGGAAGUCAAACAAUGAUGGAGUACUAUUGCACUGCAGGAGUACUACAGUACGCUUCUAGCCAUCUGACACCGAUUGAACUGCUGCAUGUCCACCGCGUGCGGGAGGGAGAGCGUGUAGCGAAAGCUUUUCCUAGUCAUGCCAGCCACCACGCUCAUGGACGAGGGAGGGAUGCUCCUGCUUUUGCGUGUAUGAUAGGUGGGCCCGACAGGUGGGUGGCCAACCAGUCAUACAGCCAAAGGCAGGUGCAGUUAAGUCCGUGAGGGAGAGGAUAAUCAAACUUCUCGUUGAUGUACAAUUUGACGUGACACAUCAAAGCACUGCACUCGAUAUAUUUCAAUAAUUUGUUUUUACCGAUGCAUUAAUUACAAUGCAUGCAUGCAUGCCGUGACUCUCCUUUUGAUACUUGCAUGUGUUGAUUUAAUGCACCUUGAAGUAGUAUAAAAUAUGUGACGGUAAAGCUUUGUAAUGCUCCGGCCCAAGCGAGAGAUGGUUGUGCACGAGGAGGGUGAGAUCAUGCAGACGGAAUAGGACCCGAUGAUGGAGCUCUCUAAGGUCUCGUUGGACCUCACCGUGCUCCACUGCCCCUUGUGCCUCCACCCCUUGACGCCUCCAGUGUAUGAGGUUCGAAUACACCCCGUCUGUUCGGCUGAUUGAGCAAGGUGGAUGUUUCUUGAUUGAUGUGCUGUUCGAUUGAUUUCUGAAGUGCAAGGGAGGGCACCUGGCCUGCGCGGAAUGCCGCGUCGAGAGCCCCGGGAGCCAGCAGCAGUGCCAGAAGUGCGAGCACGGCAGUGGCUUCUACGUGCAGAACACGGUGGUGGAUGCCGUCCUUUCGUCAGUGAGGGUGGAGUACCCGCACGAAGGCUGUGGGCUCUACGUCACUUACCACGAGCUUGCUGAUCACCAGAGCGUGUGUCCGCUUGUGCCCUGCAAAUGCCCCGUGCCCGUCUGCGCCUACGAAGGCCCGCCGCCGGUGCUCUACCACCACAUCAGCAUCGUGCAUCCCAUGCCCGUGCACAGGAUCCAGUACGGCAAGGUGCUCCAGCUGCAAGUGCCACUGUCGGAGCCACGGCUCUUGCUAUUUGCGGAGGAGGACAGCCGCACGUUUUUCUUGGUCGGCAACGUGCUCGACAUCGGUGCGCCUAUCGCCAGGUCGGUCGUCUGCAUCAAAGCGGGGGCGUCCUUACUGCUGCACUACGUGGCCAAGCUGUGGGCGAACGGCCGCUAGGGGAGCCCAAAGGCACGACCGACACUGUCAAGGUGGAAAGGAAGGUGACAAGCAGCAAGGAUCCCGGCGACGUCACCGUGCAGGAGCUGACCUUCUUCACAGUUCUGCCCAAGCUGCUGGCCGGGGCUAAGCUGGUGUCCCUCCACAUUCAGAUUGACAAGCUCACGUCCUAAAUGUUUCUACAAUGCCUUCUGUUCAUCUUUGUAAUAUGCUAAUAUAGGGAUUACCUCGGUCUACUUUAGCUUAAGAAAUGGUGGGUUUUGGUGGCGAUGCAGCAAUUACUACGACAUCAUAUCAGUAAUUUCCAACAGUCGAACAAAUAUUUUGUGUCUGUUGGAUAUAAAGUUCCUUUGGGUAAGAAGUACUACUUGUCAUCAAAAUGAAUAAAAGGAGAUGUAUGUAGACGUAUUUCAGUUCUAGAUACGUCCCUUUUUAUCCAUUUUGAUGACAAGCACUCCCUCCGUUCCACAAUACAUGCCUUCCAUUUGUCAAAAUAUAGAUGUAUCUAGACAUGUUUUAGUAUAUAGGUACAUCCAUUUUUGGACAAAUGGAGGUCAAGUAGAGUAGUAUUUUGGAACGAAGGGAGUAUAUGCUUGUUUGUUCAUGAAGUGUUUCAUACUUGUGCGAGUUGACGCGACACAUCAUAGUAGUACUACAACUAGUAGUACUCCCUCCGACCCUAAUUUCUCUGCACAUAAGUCGAGGCAUAGAUACUACCAAGCAGGGCCUGGUUGUGUUGGACAACUCACCGGACUGUGCACCAGGCAGACGAAGCUUGUGUCGUGUUGUGUUGGUGCCGUGUGCGGCCCGCACAUUAACCAAAACCUCGCGCCUCCAGCUUAGCCUCCAUGUUUUAAACUUCUCAAUCUCAAGGCCAAGGAGCAACAUGAAUCCUAUGAUAGAGCCAAUCGGAUGAUUGAGAACACUACAAUUCAUAGCUAUAGAUGCGUGUAUGACUCCCAGAUGCAGAGGCCGGGGGUCAUCAUCCUCCUUUUCGAGAAAAAGCAGAUGCGUGUGUGAGAGGACGAGUGCGUGCAUGCACCUCUUCUCUUCCUGUAUAACGUACUAAACUCAGAGUACAAGUUUUUGUGGGUGGCACGAUGGUGCAUGCGAGAAGUUCCAAGAGUUAGGUUUAAUGCGUCUGAAAAAAAGACUAGCCUAUAGCUCGCCACGCGGCUAUUCCUGUUGAACACCCCAUUAACCGGAAGAUAUGUAUACGACGGUGCCAGUUAUUGCACGUACACAGCAGUAGAAAAAGAACUACCAUGGCAUAUGCUACACCACGGUCGAGAACACGUGCCCACGUAACGCCAUCCGAGAAUAGUGCCGCACUUCGAAACUAGAACCUUCAACAAAUUUUGAGCUUGCGUCUCGUCACAUUCCAAAUUACUACUACUACCACACUAUAUUGAAUUGCAAAGCUGUUCACACCGAUCACAACCUAAACGGUUUCCCACUUAGGGGUGUAUUAGUACUUGGUUAUAAAUACUACUAUGCCAAGAUGACUGCACAUUCCUCCUCAACUCCUCAUCCACAAAAACAAACAAGUCAUUCAGCAUCCUUCCCUUGCGUCUGCCAUGGCCAGCAUGAGUUCUGGGUCGAGAGAUUGCCACCAGGGAGAGGCGAGCAUGGAAGCGGAAGCACGAGAGAUGUCCCGACUCGCUGCGAAAGCAGCCGACAUGUCCCGCCGCAUGAAAGUAGCAGCACAGAGGUCGUGCCGCGCCGCUGAAGCAACACAGAGGUCCCGCCGCGCCGUCGAUGCAGUAGACUGGUCCGGUGGCACCAUGGAAGCAGCAAAGAUGUCCCGCCGCGCUGUGAAUGCAAUAGAGAUGUCCGGUCGUGCCGCGGUGGCCUGGGAAAAUGUCUCGCGGGUAGGCGACGACUCUUACAGGCGCAUGCAUGCGAUCGUCCAUAGCCAGAUGGAUCAGAUCUCCGGCUGGGCGAGGUUGCAGGACGACAUGAAAGCCUCAUUUGAACAGGCUACCACCGUCAUCCGACAACUAAGGGAGGGCAAUGAGAGGCUCCGGGCCGAGCGUGACCUGCUGAGGGCGAAGAUCGUCUGAAGUGCAGACCAGUAGGAGGAGACCGGUGCCUUGUUGAAGAGGACCAGCGUCAUCGUCAAGAAACUUAUGGACGAGAAUGACAUGCUCCGCAUCGAGCGCCAAUGGCUGGUGGAGGAAUCCGUGGAUGUUCUCAAGCAGCGUCUUGAGGACACGAAAGAGCUCAUCACCGCUCGCCGCGGAUACUAGUUCCCGCGGCCUGCAGCAAAGCAUCAAGAAAGUAGAGACCAGCGAGCCAGAUCCUUGUCUUCCUUCUUAUUUUGCCCUUGUGUAUUUCGGGGGUAGCCACAUGUGGCUUUUUAAAUUAUCUUUCUAAUUAUGUAAGACAAUUAAUCGUCCUUAUAUAUUCAUCAGUCUUGCUAUAAGUCGCAGUAGAUGCUAUAUAGGUCUGUCGGAUCUUACAUCAAGAUCUGUGCUUUCAGAUUUUAUCUUUUCUCUCUUAAAUCUCAGUCGAGAGAGACAUAGCCACGCCAUUAAAUAGAGGCUGAGGCGCCAUUAAGGGAGACCUUGGGAGAGAGGUGGACGGCAGAUGGAGGUCAAAGGGCUCUCCUCCCAAUAAGCACGCGCAGGGGUCUGAUCAGACGCCACUCGUACUCAAAUAGCUACCCUGCACGACGCCUCCUAGCUAAUAAAAAAAGGGGAUGCAUGGCGGCACGUAAAUGGUAGUAAAUAGAACGUCCAAGGUUUCAAUAAUACUUGUGUUUCCGAUUGUAACGUGACAACACUUGUUCCAAAAUGACUUUGUUGAUUGUUAAUGUGUGCGCCUUCGCAAAUCAGACUGCAAAAUUACCACAACAUGUUGGUGCCAUGUCUUGGCACUAAGCCAAGCUUCAUUAUUUAAAUGCGUGUUCUGAAUUUACAUGAAUUAAAAAACUAAGUUUCUCAAUGUUUCCAGCCCAGCCACGACGCCUAGAAUUUUGAAUUUCAUUCCCAUUUCUUGCAUGGAACCUAGAAAUUUACCCGAGGACACACAUGUGAUUUUUCAACCAACUUUGGUGCACUGGAGCAUGUGCUUGUAUUUCAAAUUUGAAUUAUGCACACAAAGGUGACACGUUCCCUCUCAGAACCACGAGCCUUCUUGAGAGAAGCUCUGAUUUGCAAGGAGCUUAUACCAAAAUUUGUUCCUAUUCGGCCAAUUUUUUUUACCACGGCUUGGUACUACCAUGACAUGACACCAUGCCAAGUUUCAUGAUUUUAAAACCAAGUUUCUCAAUGUUCUCGACCGAGCCACGAUGCCUAGAUGUUUGAAUUUUAUUCUCAUUUUUUGCAUGGGACCUACAAAUUCACCCGGGGACACGGAUGUGGUUUUGCAACCAACUUUGGUGCACGGGAGCAUGUGCUUGCAGUUCAAAUUUGAAUUAUGCACAUUAAAUGACCAAAAACUCAAUUAAUGUGUAAAAAAGGCCAAACGAACCCGGAAUAAUUCCAAAAUUUAACAGGGCACUCAUGUAGUUCUAUGUUGCCUUUGUAAAUAAACUCAAGGGGGGCAGCGUAUAUCGUUUCGCACUCAAAGGUGGCACAUUCCCUCUCACAACCACGAGCCUUCUUGAGAGAAGCUUAGGUUUGCAAGAAGCUUAUACCAAAAUAUGUUCCUAUUCGGCCAAUUUUUUUACCACAACAUGGUAGUACCAUGACAUGACACCAUGCCAAGUUUCAUGAUUUUCAGACGUGUUUUGUAUUUACAAGAAUUUUAAAACCAAGUUUCUCAAUGUUCUCGGCCGACCCACGAUGCCCAGAUGUUUGAAUUUUAUUCUCAUUUCUUGCAUGGGGCCUAGAAAUUCACCUGAGGACACAGAUGUGAUUUUUUAACCAACUUAGGUGCACGAGAGCAUGUGCUUGUAGUUCAAAUUUGACUAAUGCACAUUAAAUGAUCAUAAACUCAAUUAAUGUAUAAAAAAUGACAAAUGAACCCGGAAUAAUUCCAAAAUUUAACAGGGCAUUCAUGUAGUUCUAUGUUGCCUUUGUUAAGAAAGUCAAGGGGGGCAGCGUAUAUCGUUCCACACUCAAAGGUGGCACGUUCCCUCUUAGAACCACGAGCUUCCAAAUUGGCCCAAUUUUUUUACCACAAUAUGUUAGUGCCAUGACAUGACACCAUGCCAAGUUUCAUGAUUUCUGGGCGAGUUUUGGAUUUACAUGAAUUUAAAAUCUAAGUUUCUCGAUGUUCUCGGCCGAGUCUCAAUGCCCAGAUGUUUGACUUUCAUUCUCAUUUCUUUCAUGGGACCUAGAAAUUCAACCAAGGACACACAUGUGAUUUUUCAACCAACUUUGGUGCACCGGAGCAUGUGCAUGCAGUUCAUAUUUAGAUUAUGCACAUUAAAAGUCCAGAGACUCAAUUAAUGUAUAAAAAGGCCAAAUGAACCCAAAAUAAUUCCAAAAUUUAACAGGGCACUCAUAUAGUUCUAUGGUGCCUCUGGAAAGAAAAUCAAGGGGGAGGCAGCGUAUAUCGUUUCACACACAUAGGUGACACAUUCCCUCUCGGAACCACAAGGCUUGUUGAGAGAAUCUCCGAUUUUGCAAGAAGCUUAUACCAAAACUUGUCCCAAUUCAACCAAAAAUUAUACAUAUGAAAAUAGGGUUUAAAUUAUCCCGAACAUGUCGCUACCUAGACCAAUAAUGUACUAUGAUUUGACUUCAACAUAAAAUGGAUACACAUAUUUGAAUUGGAGAUCGUAUGGUACAUGUAGUUCAUAGUGAAAUAUGAUUACUGUUAGCGUUCUGGGAACGGGGGUCCCCAGACUUGCCUGCCUGCGGCCUGCGGCGUGGCUCAAGCAGUGGCCCAGUAUGGCCCAUCUUCAUCAACCCAAGUUCAAGACCCUCACGAGGGGCCAAGCCUCGCGGGGCGGACGACACAAGGCUUCCUCAGGGGCGGCCUCACCAGGCAGGCUCGCGAGGAGGCAGAUAGAUCAAGGCAAGGAGUACCUCGCAAGGUGCUCAUGACGCAAGCCAUGACGAUCAAGACCAGGCGGGCGCCAGCCAGCGCAGUGUCCUCAUUUCCUAUUUGGUGCAAAGGGGGAAAGCGCAGGCGCGGAGUACCGAGGCAUCAAGCAAAGGUUUCCAUAUCGGUGCAACGAGACCAAGACCAGCAGAGCGGCAGGACAGAGAUCACCAUGGAGCCCAAGGCGGCGUCAUCGCCAGUGCCUUUGGCAGUCGAAGACCAACUUUAGUCAGGAUAGCUUGUACUAGCUGCCCCUUCAAAAUGGCCAUUGUUGUCUCCCUUCCCGCUUAAUAUUUGGGAAGAGGACCAGGGCCUCUAUAUAUAGAGAUAGCCACCAUAGUAGAGGGGAUGGAAUCCUUCCCUAGUAGAACACCGCACCAGCUCAAGAACACCCCUCGCGAGGUUGUUCUUCCUUUGUACUGUUCAUCAUCGGCCCAAGAGGCAAUCCACCACACCACACACUGGAUUAGGGUAUUACACCACAACGGUGGCCCGAACCAGUAUAAAUCUCGUGUCCCUUGUGUUGUUCAUCGUGCUAGCUUAGAUUCGCGGCGAGGUUUUGGGGCGUGGAUCGGUUGGGAGAAGAUCUUCGUGCGCACCCCAGAGUUCGAACCUUAAGGGUUUUGCCGGAACCCUAUAUCCGACAUUUGGCGCGCCAGGUAGGGGUGCACCGGAGCUCUCCCUUCUGUCGACCUGCUCUCCAUCAACACCGCGCUUCGCCCUCAUGGCGAACAACGCGCCGCCGGCUCCGGUGGACGAUGCCAGCGCUAGGGCCAGGGGGCUCCGAGCCUUGGCCCCCGCCUUGCGACAGGUGCAGUGGAAACACAAGUUCAAGCCAGAGAUGCCGCCGUGCUACAACGGCGCGACAGAUCCGCUGGUUUUCCUGCUGGCGUACGAGGAGGCCGUCCUCAAGGCCGAGGGUGACGACAAGGUCAUGGCCAACUCGUUUCCCAUGGCCCUCACCGGUGUCCCACGCGUGUGGCUGAUCCACCUGCCAACAGCUUCUGUGGCCUCCUGGGAGGAGCUGCGCAACCUCUUCCUCACCCAUUACACUGCGCCGACGCCCCCGAUCGUCGCAGCUCUCCUGGGCGGCUCGCAGGCGCCACCCUUGGGCCGCCAUGUCAAGUCGUUCGUUCGCCAGAUUGGCGCCGCCCUCACACGACAUGGAGCUCCUCCGGGUUGGGCGGCACCCAAGGCCGACCUGACCUUCAGCUCGGACGAUCACCCCGUCAACACCGUCUACUCGGGUGCGCUCCGAAUGCUUUGCAUGCCCACUAUCUGCUAGGUGGCCGUCACCAGGACCCUCAUCGAUGGCGGUGUCGGCCUCAACGUGCUCUCGGUGGAGGCCUUCAGCCUCCUCCAUGUACCACUGGAACGGCUCCAACCCAGCAAGCCCUUCUCGGGUGUCGGAGGCAGUUCCUCCAGCUCCCUGGGGCAAAUCCGCCUCCCUGUGACCUUCGGCACCCACAACAACUUCCGCACAGAGCUGGUCAACUUCGACAUCGCCCACAUCGGCCUCUCGUACAACGCCAUCCUCGGCUACCCCGCCUUGGCCCAAUUCAUGGCAGCGACCCAUCCGGCCUACAACCUCAUGAAGAUGCCCGGGAGCAGUGGCAUCCUCACCCUAGCUGGAGAUACCAAAGAUGCUCUGCUGGCGCUCAAGCUUGCCCUCAAGACAGCUCCAAUAGCACAACCCGCCGGCACCGACAACUCCAAGACCAAGGGGGCUGCAUCAACCAAGAAGAAGCAACUGUUCACCCAGGACAAGGCGGAGACCAAGCAGGUACCAGUUGAUGAGGAUGGAUCCUCCGAUGCCACCUUCACCAUAGGUGCCAAUCUCGACCCCGGCCAGGAGGAGGCACUGGUGAAAUUCCUGCGCUCGAACAAGGAGGUGUUCACGUGGGAACCCAAACAACUAGCAGGGGUCCCAAGGCAGGUGAUUGAGCAUCACCUGAAUGUGUGCCCUAAUGUACACCCUGUGAAGCAGAAAGCCAGGCGGCAGUCCACCGAGAAGCAGGCCUUCAUCAUCCAAGAAACCUGCAAGCUAGAGGCGACAAGUGUUAUUCGCGAGGUUCGCUACCCCGAAUGGCUGGCAAACCCUGUUGUUGUGCCGAAAAAGGGAGGAAAGGAGCGCAUGUGCGUCGACUUCACCAACCUCAACAAGGCCUUCCCUCAAGAUCUAUUCUGACUCCCUCGCAUCGACGAAAUUGUUGACUCCACCGCUGAGUGUGACCUGCUGUGCUUCCCGGAUGCAUUUUUGGGCUAUCGUCAAAUCAAGAUGGCGAUAGAAGACAUGGAGAGGACGGCCUUCCUGACCCCAUGCAGGGUGUACUGCUACACCUGCAUGCCGUUCGGGUUGCGCAACGCGGGCGCAACCUUCGAGCGACUGACGCACAUCGCCUUGGGCCGGCAGCUCAGGAGAAACGCCGAGGCCUACGCCGACGACAUUGUGGUGAAGUCUCGGGAGGCGAAGACCUUGAUCCAGGACCUAGAAGAAACCUUCGCGAGCCUGCAUGAAGUGGACAUGCGGCUCAACCCGGAGAAGUGCGUGUUUGGCGUUCCUUCUGGCAAGCUGCUGGGCUUUCUCUUGUCCCACAGAGGAAUCGAGGCCAACCCAGAGAAGGUCAAGGCAAUCGAAGACACGAAUCUGUCGCAAACCCUCAGAGAAAUGCAGAAGCUCGCUAGGCGCGUAACCGCGUUAGGACGCUUCAUAUCCAAGCUGGGGGAGCGUGCCUUGCCUUUCUUCAAGCUGAUGAAGAAGACAGGCCCAUUCGAAUGGACACGGGAGGACGACAAAGUGUUUCAAGACCUCAAGAAAUACCUGACCAGCCCUCCUGUGAUGGUGGCACCGCACCCUCUCGAGCCCCUGGUGCUCUACGUCGCCGCCACACCCUACUCCGCCAGUGCAGCUCUGGUGGAGGUUCGGGAAGAGCUCCAGGUCAAGGCUGCAUCAGGACUGGCCCCGGCCCCGGCCGCGGCAGCACAAGACCAGGAAGGCCUCGCGAAGACCAUGGCCUCGGCAGAUGGAGACCAGCCUCAACAGGAAGACACCCCCAGGGCUGAAGGGGCCUCACCAGGCAGCCAGGUGCUAGGGGCUCCGACGUCUCAGGAGGCGCCUAACCCUUCGGAGGGCAUGUGCCUCGUUAGCACACCCACCCUCGUCAAGCAUCCGGUGUACUUUGUUAGCACGGUGAUGAGGGAUGCUAGGGCACGAUACCCCAUGCCUCAGAAGCUCUUGCUUGCACUGCUGGUGGCCUCGCGUAAGUUGCGGCAUUACAUUCAAGGUCACCCCAUCAAGGUCAUCUCGGCCUACCCAUUGGAAAGGGUACUCAUGAGCCCCAAUUCUGCUGGAAGGGUCGCCGAAUGGAACAUUGAGCUGCAAGCAUUUCAGUUGGAAUUCAGCACAACCAGGGUCGUCAAGGGAGCCGCACUUGCAGAUUUUGUGGCAGAAUGGACAGAGGCGCCAGGGCUCAAAGCAGGUGAAGAUCAACCACUUUCCCUAGGAAGCGGGGCACUAGACGGCUGGGUCAUGUACUUCGAUGGAGCAUUCUCGCGAUAUGGCGCGGGGGCUGGCGCAGUGCUUAUAUCCCCCACUCAGGACAAGCUCUAUUACGCCGUGCAGCUCUGUUUCCAGCAUGGCGAGAAGGUCUCCAACAACAUAGCAGAAUAUGAGGGCCCCAUAGCGGGCUUAAAAGCUGCAACAGCACUGGGGGUGAAGCACCUCAUCAUCAAGGGUGACUCACAACUCCUCGUCAACUUCUCCAACAAAGUGUACGAGCCAAAGGACGAGCACAUGGAGGCGUAUCUUGCGGAGGUGCGCAGGAUGGAAAAGCAAUUUUGGGGGUUGGAGUUGCAGCAUGUGCCCCGCGGCACCAACCAAAAGGCUGAUGACAUCACCGGAAGGGCAUCCAGGCGGCUGCCUCAGGAGCCUGGCGUUUUCGAGGAACGACUCUUCAAGCCCUCGACUGCACCGUCACUAUCAAGCACAGCGCAACCUCGGGAAGAACUCCCUCAACCACCUGCCACAGGAGCCCCGGCCUGUGGCCGAACCUCGGGAGCACGCUUGCUCCUGGCGCUGGAGCCUCAGGAGGGAUGCUGGACUACGGAGUUCAAGGAUUACCUGAUGCAAGGGACUCUACCAGAGAAGGAGGAGGACGUGGAAUGCGUGGCCCGAUAGGCCACGGCCUACUGCAUCCAAGACGGCGAGCUCUACCGGAAGCGGCCAAAGGAUGUUUCCCUGCAUUGCAUCUCUAGGGAACAGGGGAAGGAGUUGCUGGCUGACAUACAUGAUGGAGACUGUGGACACCACUCGUCAUCAUAGACCCUCGUUGGCAAGGCGUUUUGCAGCGGGUUUUACUAUCUACAUCACUCAACAACGCAAUUGAGCUGGUGAAGGCUUGCGAAGCCUGCCAAUUCCAUGCCAAGCAGAUCCAUCAGCUAGCUCAGGGCCUGCAAACCAUCCCACUCUCGUGGCCAUUCGCGGUCUGGGGUCUGGAUAUCUUGGGCCCGUUUCCUCAAGCGCCUGGGGGCUACCGCUGCCUCUACGUCGCCAUCUACAAGUUCACCAAGUUGGCGGAGGUGGAAGCCGUCCGCACCAUCCCAGCUGGCUCUGUAGUCAAGUUCAUCAAGGGCCUCUUAAGCCAAUUCGGGGUCCCUAAUCGCAUCAUCACCAACAACGGUUCGCAGUUCACUAGCAAUCUCUUCAAAACAUAUUGUGCUAACCUUGGAACGUAGAUAUGCUAUGCUUCGGUGGCACACCGUCGGAGUAACGGCCAAGCCGAACGCGCCAACGCAGAGGUCCUGAAAGGCCUCAAAACCAGGACCUUCAAGAAUAAGCUGGAGGCUUGCGGUAGGGGCUAGUACAACGAGCUCCAGUCCGUGUUGUGGUCCAUCUGCACUACCGCCACUAAGUCGACUGGCAAGACCCCAUUCUUCCUCGUGUACAGAGCAGAGGCGGUCCUCCCUCACGAGGUCAGGCAUCGCUCCGAACGGGUCUUAGCGUUUGACGAAGCGCAGCAGGAUGCCAUGCGGGGGAUGGACCUCGUGUUGGGGAGGAGCACCGUCGAGAAGCCGCACUACGAGCAGCAAGAUACCAGCAGGCGCUGCGGCGGUAUCAUUGCCACAACAUCUGCCCCAGGACUCUUGAGGUAGGUGACCUCAUGCUCAGGCGGGUGCUCUCCAGGGAAGGGCUGCACAAGCUCUCGCCAUGUGGGAGGGCUCGUUCAAGGUCAUUCAUGUUUCCAGGCCUGGGGCUGCGCGCCUGGAGACUCAGGAGGGGGUGCCCAUCCCAAACGCUUGGAACAUUCAGCACCUCUGGAAGUUCUACCCUUGAAGAAAGGCCCGAUGCCUAUGAAGAAGGCCACGUGCCUGUGAAGAAAGGCCCAGUGCCUGUAAAGAAGGCCUGGUGCCUGUGAAGCUCGCCGCCCCAAGAAAAGCCCGGUGCCUGUGAAGAAGGCCCAGUGCCUGUGAAGCUCGCCGCCCAUGACAUUCUCACGUAAUAAUGAGUUGGGGCUGUACAUGCCCCGGAAUCUCCGGAGUGACACCCUUGGUCCUCGGGGGCUCCCGCCCACGCCCAGUGGCAGCACUUAGCUCCGCGCUGGUGAGAAGACGUCGAAGACUAGACUAGGUGCCGGACGUGGCUUUUCAUUUGCUUUCCGCAGUUGGCUUGUUCUCCCUUGUUUGGACCUUUAUUGGAGUUGCUUCUAGUGUUGUUUGCCGUUCUCUGCCACUGUUCUCUGUUUUUGGCUCUUGCCUGGCUCGCUCUCUUUCUCUCGCAAGCUCGUGAGGAAGGGUUGCAAGCACCCUUGUGAGCCCUUUCUCGCUUGGUUUUCGCGAGGCUCCCUCGUUCAAGUUCACAGCGGGAGCACCCCUCCCGGUCCAUGCCCCACGGGCAUCACGACAGAAAGCACCAAGCCUAAGCCGGCAACUCUCGCGACCAAGGUUCGAAAACUAUCCUCCCGACUGAUCUCUGCAGAUCUUAAGGCGCCUGGCGAGGCCUCAAGCGAGUACCUCACGAGGAAAAAACCACUGCAAACAUCCCGAGCUAAGUUGUUCCUAUGUGCAGGAACAUAAUCAUAACACCAUAACACAGCACAAGAACGAUAAAUGUAACAUGAUAAUUGGGAAUCACAGUCUAUUGCACGCCCCCGCAGGGCUCCAUACUUCUCUCUCUCUCUCUCUCUCUAUGUAGGAAAAGGAGAAAAACAAAAUAAAAACAGUGCGCGCCUUGCGACAGCUCGCGAGGAAGGGUCCGCAUCGUCCUCCCGAGCUCAAUCGAACUCCGCCUUGCGCUUCACUGGGGCGCGGCAACGGGACGACCCGCUACUGCCCUCGAAUCGUCCGCGGCGACGUGGUGGCUGAUCGCGGCCACCACCGGAGGAGCUGUCACCGGAGGAGGAGCCGCUGAAGCUCGGCGAGCUGCGGACGCCGCCGGGAGCGGGGCCGCCUUCGCCCUCGUCAUGACCGUCGCCAAGGCCAAGCACCUCGUCGCCAUCAUCGUCUUCAGGGCAACACCCAACAUGGCGGCCAUCUUCUCCAAACACCCUCGUGUAGAGGGUCGUGUCGCCAUCGAACUUGAAGUGGAGGGUGCACCGCCGGCCCAGGCCACACGCGCGGGCAAUCAUCUGCCAACCGCGGGCCAGGGCCACGUUCCCGGCGACCGAGAUCACCACCACGACCCAGGAGGCCCUGCUGCAGCAACCGUCCGCCUAUAGCCAGAGCCCGCCAGGGCCAGCGGCCGGUAGUUCACCAACGAAGAAGUGAGGGAGCUGGAGCCAGUUGCCGCCCGGGUUGUUCGACCACACAACAAACUCUGGCAGCACCUCUGCCAAACGGAAGUGCGGCCGGGGAGGCCCCGCAGCCACGGCGUGCCUUCCUUCACCGACUGGGCUGCCCCGAUGCAGGCGGCCACCACCGCGCGAAGAGCCACCACCGCGACCACGAGGAGCCGUGACGGGAGUCGUGAGAUGCUUGCGGGGACGACCACGGCCGCGCUUGGGCGGAGGAGAGUCGGGCCCUUCUUGGCGGGCCUUCCCCUUUUCCACGGCCGAUAACCUCCUCCUGGGCGCCAUGGGACACGACAAGCAACCAGAGCAAGGAGGAAGAAGAAGCAGGCAGAGCAAGAAGAGAUGGGCAACGGGGGCUCACGCCUCUCCGUACUUAUAGUCCAUAGGAGGCCAACCAUCGACCUCCAUGAUCGCAGGUAAUCAUGACCCUUUUUGCAAGCAGCAGGGACUCGUCAAAUCAGGCAGUUGCCGAGGCAGCAUGGGGAAGCGGAGACGCCCACGUCCAAUCAACCGCCACGCGGCGACCAAGGCCGCAGGCUGUUGGGGCCUGCGGUGCUCCGCGCUUGCCCUUUGGCUUCGCUGCUAAGCCAAGUCCGAGCGCGCCUUGGGCCCGGGGGCUACUGUCGGCAUUCUGGGAACGGGUCAGACUUGCCUACCCGCAGCCUGCGGCGUGGCUCAAGCAGUGGCCCAGUAUGGCCCGUCUUCAUCAAGCCAAGUUCAAGACCUGCGCGAGGGGACAAGCCUCGCGGGGCAUAUGACACAAGGCUUCCUCAGGGGCAGCCUCACCAGGCAGGCUCGCGAGGAGGCAGAGAGAUCAAGGCAAGGAGUACCUCGUGAGGUGCUCAUGACGCAAGCCAUGACGAUCAAGACCAGGCGGGCGCCAGCCAGCGCAGUGUCCUCGUUUCCUCUUUGGUGCAAAGGGGGCAAGCACAGGCGCGGAGUACCGAGGCAUAUCGGUGCAAUGAGACCAAGACCAGUAGAGUGGCAGGACGGAGAUCACCGUGGAGCCCAAGGCAGUGUCAUCGCCAGUGCCUUUGGCAGUAAAAGACCAACUUUAGUCAGGAUAGCUUGUACUAGCCGUGCCCCUUCAAAAUGGUCGUUGUUGUCCCCCUUCCCGCUCAAUAUUUGGGAAGAGGACCAGGGCCUCCAUAUAUAGAGAUAGCCACCACAGUAGAGGGGAUGGAAUCCUUCCCUAGUAGAACACCGCACCAGCUCAAGAACACCCCUCGCAACAUUGUUCUUCCUCUGUACUGUUCAUCAUCGGCCCAAGAGGCAAUCCACCACACCACACACUGGAUUAGGGUAUUACACCACAACGGUGGCCUAAACCAGUAUAAAUCUCAUGUCCCUUGUGUUGUUCAUCGUGCUAGCUUAGAUCCGCGGCGAGGUUUUGAGGCGUGGAUCGGUUGGGAGAAGAUCUUCGUGCGCACCCCAGAGUUCGAACCUUAAGGGUUUUGCCGGAACCCUAUAUCCGACAAUUACUGCUAUAUGCAUGUUUUUUGUUAUCAAGAUAAUAUUUAAAUUAUUGUAUAACUUGACAACAAUCGUAUUCAAAUAAGGAAAAUUGAUUCAAAUUUAGUCCAUAUGGUAGACGAUAAUAUAUAUGUUCACAUGGUGGAGUAAAAUGUUCAUAUAUGAUGGAAGAUCAAAAUGAACGACUACAUCAAUUAUAAACCGCAAGGUCACCUAACGAUAUAUUCGAAUCCAACAUAACAUGGAUUCAAAAAUUGAAAUUCGAGAUCCUGGCAUUUGUAAUCAUAUAAAAAGGGACAUUACUCUUUCUUUUGGUGGGAAUUGAUUUAUUUUUUGUUGUUGUUGAGGGAAGUGCGAAUCGAUUUGGUACUGUGCAGGGUAAUCUUGUUCUCCUGAUUUUUUUUACAUUGUUCUUGUAGAUUUUUCAAUGGCAUCUAUAGCAAUAUAGUAAAAGGGGACAUGACUCUCUUGUGUCUUGUAUGAAUUUUUUUUACACGUUAAGUUUGUUCUGCCGAACAAGGAAUCCGCACCUUGUUAUCCCGAAAUUUUCAAGCUCAAGUAUCUUUUGUCUCACCUGCUUUGAAACUCCCGCCUCUUCAACCCGCGCCGCGCCUUGUUAUCCCAAAAUUUCCAUGCGCGCGAAAACUCCCUCCUCAUCCGAAAUCGGUCCCACAGCCCAGACACGUGAAAUCCCCCUUCUACCCCUCAGCCGGAAAUGAAGCUCCACGCCGCGGUGUCAAAACUGGUGGGGGUACGAUGGUAACUUACCCUACAUUUUGGACAAGAGCGUCCCUAAGCUUGGCUCCCCCCUCCCCCUUCGCCCCCCAUUCGUACACCGAGGCCGCCAAAACCUGCGAAACCCCACGCUCCUCCGUCGGCCUGCCGACCGCCGCCCAACCGGAGACUCUUCCUCGACUACGUCGUCCACCACAACACUCGUCGUCCCUCAUCCACCGCACCAAAUGAGGAUCCGGCAUUGAUCUCGUCGUCUCACUGGAUCGGCCGCCCCGUCCUCCACCUCCAAGGAGCUGCCGCAAUGUUCGCCUCGUCUAUCGCGCCACCUCAAUCCCCACAGUGUCGUCUUGACCUGCCCCACCGGAACCGCAGCACCCUCACCAAUUCCUUCGAUGAAGCCGAGGCCAACUCGGUGCCACCAAGGAGGUUCUGCACUCACCGCUGCAUUUUAUCUUUUAUUCGAUCUCACGGGGCUGCCGGUGUUCGAUACCGAGCAGACAUGGCGGGUCUCCAUCGACGGUGCCGUCACCGAGCACAUCAUCCACGGCGUCUCUCCCCCAUGUUGUUGCUUCCUCGACGGCAACUUCCACAACGGCACUAGAUGCAGCUGCUCCGGCUCUCGCUCGUGUUGCGGCUCUGUUCUUGCUGUCGGUCGCGCUGCUGCACUGCUCUUGCUUUCGUUCGUGCUACUGCUCUGCUCUUGCUCUUGCUUGCUUGCGAUGUUGCUGUUGCUACUGCUGCACGACCUCCAGCAGCUACAGGAGUUGCUGCUUUAGCACUCGCUCGCGGUGCUACUACACGAUUUGCUCUCUGCUAGUGUGUUCCCUGCUCGAGCGUCUGGUGAUUUAGAUCACUGCUUCUCUGCCACUAGUGCUCGAACGCCCUAAACAUCUAUUGCAAUGCUCCACUACUAGUUCAAUCAGUUUCGACAGUAAAAUUCAGUUUUGACUGUAAAGUUCAUUUUCUUCAGUUAAGUUUAGAGUGAACAGUACUUACAACAUCUGUCAGAGCCUCCGUGACGCGACUGAUGCAUUUUACAUCUAGCACUUUUUGGUGAUGUAUUUUACAUCAUCUAUUGCAGAUGAUAUUUGGGUCCCACUUCAGAUUAACAUUGUCUGUCUUGUCCUGCUUCAGCCUCGCCACCGUACACCUCAGCGGAGCUGCUCCAACGAUGGAACCGUCCAUCACAGCGGAGCAGUACCCUCGGCACCAUUUCCAGAGGCCUCGGAUCUUCUUCCCCGCCUCCGAUAGUCACACCAGUAUCACCAUCCUCCACGACCAACCCAAUGAUGCUGAGGUCCACAAGGCUAUGCCAAAGAGGUUGUACACUCGUCGCAUCACUUUGUUACUCUGCAUUCGUGUCGAUCCCUCAGGGAUCCUUUGCUAUGGAACUACUAUUCGUGCAUUUGGUUAGAAGGAGUGGAGCAAAGCAAAACUGGAGGAUUUUUUUUCCUUUGGUGUCUCUUUCAAAGAAAAAAUGUAGGAAUUUUAUUCACUUGGACGUCCUUUUCAAAUUAAUAUGCAUGAAGAACAAAACUAAUUGCAUUACUGGCAUAAUAAGAUUCUUAUUUUUUUUCAUUUCCAUGUGGUUUGACUUUAAUUUGACCACGUUUCUCCAUUCCCGUGUUCUUCCAAUUCAUGUGAACCAAACACCCGGGUUGACUAAAAUCCUAUGUUUCCAAAUGCUCUGUUUUGCACGUGCAUUCCUAUUCUAUUCGUGUGUUUUUCCUGUCCCUGUGUUUAUAGAAUCCUCCAAUUCUAAGGAGCCCUUACAGAUUUACUUCAUUUUCCGAUAGGCGUCAAAGAAAACUCUGUGUGUUAUGUCCUGCUCCUGUCGUGCCGGUAUCCACCCCACCUGAGGUGCACCAUUGAUAGAAGCGUUCACUACAGCAGAGAUCCCCCCUGCAGACUUUCUUUCGCCGCCUCAGAUCAUCUUCCCCGUUACCGGCAGCCACGCCAACUGCAUUACCAUCAUCGACUGAGCAGAUGAACCUGAGGACUACACAGUUCUGGAAGAGAGGUCGCAGUCUUUCGUGUUUGCUUACGUUAUACAUCGAUUAUUAUUACCUGCUACUUUAUCGUUCAAACUUGAGUUUUGAAUUGCCCGUGGGUCUCAUAUCGAGGCAGUGUCUACUAUCUGGUUCAUCUGGGGUCUUCUAUGUGGUUCAUGUUGGGUGGGCAACAAACAAUAGAUGAUCCAUUGUCUAUCUUUUUAAACUGAAGCUAUAAUCUACCUGCUAUCAUUAGUUUUGGAUCCAUCCACUCAUUUGCUACCAUCAGUCUUGAUUUUUGCAUGCACCCCUUAGGACUUACAAAAUCUAACUAUUUUUACAAUCGUACUGAACAUGGAGAGAAAAAGAGAAGACCAUUGCGUGGGAAUAUAAUGCCAUGCAGAUGCUGCUCCAUGGUGGGCGAAGUGGGCCCCCCUCCUGCAUUUCUAGAUUGUAUUCUAGAGGAAGAUAACUGUUCAGAUGAGGAUUCAGAAGGAGCCGACCAUGCCUGUUUACCACCUGAGGUGUUUGCUCUAACCUGGCAUGCUGAUGUUGGUCAUAUCAUGUAUAUGGCACCUCGCAUUGCUUAUAUUAUACAUCUUAUAUGUCAUCAGCUUAGUUUAGAUUUGCUUUGUGUGAAUGCCACCUGUUUGAUUUCUAUAUCAUACUCCCACCAUUCCUAAAUAUUUGUCUUUUUAGAGAUUUCAACAAGUGACUACAUACGGAACAAAAUGAGUGAAUCUACACUCUAAAAUAUGUCUAUAUACAUCCGUAUGUGGUAGUCCAUUUGAAAUCUCUAAAAAGACAAAUAUUUAGGAACAAAGGGAGUAUAUGGGAAUUAUGCAAUGCCAUCUUCUUUAGCCAGGCAUCAUAUACGUGAAUCAUGCAAUGCCAUCCUGUUUAGCCAGUCAUCGUAUAUGUGAAUUGUAUAGUGCCAUAUUUUUCCAUAAUGUAUUCCAUUUGUCAGCAAUGUUUAUACAUUCAUCUACUCUUCCUAUGCAUUAGCCAUUUGAGUCGGUCAUGGGAAAAUCAGGAGUGAAAACAAGGUCUUCUGAGCAGUCAGUGCUACCUGUGAUGCAGAUUUCUUGCUGGUUACAGAUAGCUCCUCAGAGGAGGAUUCAAAGACAGAUGACCAAUCUUAUCCCCCCCCUCCCGAGGUGCAUGCUCUAACUUGGCUGGGUUAUAUUGCUCAUAUCAUGCAUAUGGUGUCUUGCAUUGCCAUGCCAUCUGCUUAGAUUAGACAUGCUUUGUGUGAAUGUCUCUUGUUUGCUUUCUAUAUCAGAUAUGUGAAUUAUGCAAUGCCAUGUUUUUCAGCCAGUUAUCAUAUAUGUGAAUUAUGCACCGCCAUGUAGCCAGCAUAAUAUAUGUGAAUUAUCUCAUGCCAUCUUUUUUUUUCAUUACGUAUUCCAUUUGUCGACAAUCUGUGUAUAUUGAACUACUCUUCAUGUGUAUCAGCCAUUUGAGUCGGUUAUGGAAAAAUCUGGAGUAAAAACAAGGUCUUCAGAGCAGGCAAUGGUACCUGUUGAAGCAUAUAUCUCGAUGGUUACAGGGAGCUCCUCAAAGGAGGAUUCAGAGACAGAUGACCAGUCCUAUAUCCCACCUGAGGUGCAUGCUCUAAGUUACAAUGUUUAUAUUUCUCAUAUCAUGCAUAUGGUGUCUUGCAUUGCUUAGUUUAGACAUCAUAUGCACAAUAUUGAAUUCCAUCUGCUUAGUUUAGAGAUCAUACAUGCGAGUGCCAGCUGCUUAGUAUAUGAAUCAAUUAUGUCAAUUAUAUCAUGCCAUCCUGUAUACUUAGACAACAUGUAUGUGAAUUAUUUCAUCCCAACCUAUUUUAGAAAGACAUCAUAUAGUUUUGUCAUGUCAUCCUAUUUAGGUACUCAUCAUAUGUUGAAUUAUGCCAUUAUAUCCUGUUAAGUUAUCCAUCAUAUAUCUGAAACUGUGUCAUACUAUCCUGUUUAGUUAGGCAUCAUAUAUGUGAAAUUGUGUCAUGCUAUAUUGUUUGGUUAGACAACAUAUAUGUGAAUUACCACAUCUGUCUAUCAUAAAAUGUAUGUACGUUCAAUUUCUUUUCUUGUUUAUCAGCCAUUUGAAUUGGAGGGGUGAUGGCAGUAUCUAAGGGAGCAAAAACCCGUUCUUCACAAAAGACAGUGCUACCCGUCGAUGCAGAUAGAACCAUGGUUGUACUGGACCACAAACUAGCCCCACCACACAUAAUCGAGACUCUUCCAGAUUGCACACUUACACCUUGGGCAGAGAACCAGCUACAACCCAUCUAACCGCAACCCCAGCGGAUAGUAACCCACUUCUAGUUGACAAAGAACCAUGUCCACCACAGAGUACCCCCACACGAGCAGUUUGUAAAGCUACUGCAGUGCCCAAAGCACGAAGACCACCACAGCUAACCCAAACUCCACGUUUAAAGCAGAAGAUCAACUGUUAUCAGGUCAGAUUCCGUAGCUAUGGUCCAUACUCUUUUGCUGUUGCAUCACUCUAUUUACUCAUACCAACGACUUUCGAAUUUGAAGGAUCCAACUGAAACUCCAAUGGCACAACACGCCCUGUUCAAGAAAUCUUUCGAUUCAUUGAUUUAACGUCCGAUUUAUCGCUACUCAUGGGGUGACCGAUAAAAUUACGCCUUAUCUUCACCUUUUAUCGUUUGGGCCGAUUUAUCACUCUGACAAGCGAUUUAUCAGGAAUCUACCGAUAAAUCAGGCCUGUUUCUAACAUUAUGUUUGCAAAAACUAUGUUCAUUUGUGUUUUGUGGACCUUGUUUUGAAAUAUGUCCUAUUUUGUUUGUCAUUAUAAGAGGAUUCAAAGGCUAGGAAUCAAGGUAACACUUCUGUCCAAUAUUGUUUUGGUGUUGAAUAUAACAUAUUUUAGUGUUGGGAACUGGGAUUUGCAAAAAAUGGCCGAUUAAUAGUCAAUAGAUAAAAUCGAUUAAUCGGCCGAUUUCUGAUUAAUCUCUAAUCCCCAGCCGACUGAGACACUAAUGAUAAGUGAUAUCCUUAACAUUGGCAACAUGUAUGGUUUAAACCUAUUUCUUUAACUGGAUAGUUGUUCUAACUUCUUGCUCUAUGUUGAUUUCAGUUUAAGUUGUAUAAACAGUUAUGUUCUCAUGUGAUGCACAUUACAAGUGCUACCAAUGUUGUGUAGUUUCUCACACUUAUAUUCUGUCUAUGCUGCUGUGUCUUAAAAAUAUAUUAGUUGAACUAUGUCUCUAUCUUGAUUAGGCAACAUAAACUAGAAUGAUAUGGACAAUACAGUGACCACAGUACAUAGAUAUAUGUUUGUUUCAUGCCAUUAUCCUAUCCACCUUACUACUGAACCGGUUUACCAAAAUGAGUUUCGUAUACUACAAGCUAAACCUGUGAUGUGUCUGCUUGUUUCUCUUGUAGUAUGCAAACAGAAUAUUCGAGAAGAUCACCCCACUAUGCAAUGGUAGAGAAAGUAAUGCAGAUAGGUUCAAGAUAGUGAGGCAACCCUGUUGGUCUCUAAGAAAGGUGAUAAAAACGAUCUUGUAGACAGUGAGAAAACCCCAUAGUCCUGCAUUGAUGUAGUAUUCGACUUACUGGCCAGUAGCGCUAGCACAAGCUCUUCGAACUCACUGCCUGAAUCACUUCAGCUUCUUCAGUCUCAGCUACAAGCUGAAAGGCAUCAGUCAGCUGUGCUAUGGCAAGAAGCCGAAGGACUGAGGAAGUCCCUGCAGAAUUCAGAUGCGUGCUUUCUUGUGCAAUAGCAAGCGCUGGAGAAUUUAAGCGUCAAACAAGAGAAAGUUAAUAAGCUUGCUAAGCAUCUUGCCAGCAUUAUGGGUACCCAGGAUAUUGUUUCUUGAGCUCUUCUGAAGUGGUUUCAGCUCUGGACUUGUUUUGCUACGGCAUUUAUAUGCUACAUUGUUCCCUAUAUUUGCACUGGUGGCGAACUUUGAUGCCCAGUGGAUGUAAUAUGUGUGAUAGCCGUGAUAGCCUAGCAUAAGUUGUUUGCUUAUUUAUUUCCUUGUUGUCUUGUUUAUUUGUUUGCUUGUAGUCAGUGCAGUUCUUUUUUCGCGGUUUGCUAGUGGCCACAAUAACCUAUUUUUUAAAACUAGGCCACAAUAACCAUGGGCUACAUAUUUACUGUAGUGACACUGGGCCUCCUACCGGCCGUAGAAACAAUGGGCCUUCUACAGGCCGUAGAAACAAUAGGCCUUCUACGGAUCAUAGACAGAAUGGGCCUUCUACGGGUCGUAUCAUCAAUGGGCCUUAUAUGGGCCGGACGAUCGAUCGGCCAAACAUGGGCCAAUAACAGACCGCAUUAUGGUCGUAAACGGGCUAGAGUUGGAAUCGCCCGUUCAUGAGCCGACCAUAACGAGCCGUCGUUAAUAGGCUAUAUUUGAUGACGCUAUGAAAACGUCCCAAAGUAUCAACGGGCCACAAACGGGCCGACUAUAACAAUGGGCUAAAAUUGUCCCACAAGCAGAAAAUGACAGUAACGGGCCGUAAGUAACCGAAUGCUGGAAAUGAGCCCAAGAAUAAAUAGGCCCUGAGAAGGCCGAAAGAUAACAUGGGCUAGAAACGGCCCAAUGGAAUAAUGGGCCGUUAAUGGGUAUAAAGUGAUACACUAUUCAUUACGGGCCAGUUUCAGCACGGGCCAUUAAUGGGCCAAGAGUUACAAAGGGCCUCAUUGGGCCGAAAGACGUCAUGGGCCAUACAUGGGCCGGAAGUUAAAAUAGGCUGGAAUCAUAUUGGAUGGACCAGAUGACGCUACUAGGCCUAAUUUGGAUAGGCCGUAACGGGCCCUUUGUUUGCGGGCUGUAAAUGGGCUAUAUACGAACAUGCCGUUAACAGGCUUUCCGUGGGCCGACCCGCCACCUUUUGACCAAGUCAAAUGGGCCAGCCUUUUCACAGGAAUGGGCCUCUGUUGGGCCGUGCCACGUGUCGAUGUAUCAUAGGCGCCUUCGGUCCAAUGAGUGGAUGACAUCUGUCCCAACGGUGAGAUGACACGUGUUUACUCCAGCCAAUGAUGAUUUUACACGUGGAAAAUCCCCAUUGGUCGGGGCUAUUAACGGGUUAUCGGAUCCAAAACCGGACCCGAUAGCUUAGCGGCAUUCUUUUACGGUGGAUGCCACAUGUCGGUCGCCCUUGACGAAAGCACUUCUAUGACGCAGGAAUUAUCGUCAUGGAAGUGGCCACUUCCAUGACGAUAAUUUUGGUAAUGUCAUGGAACACUUCUACGACAACACAUGUAUGACUAUCUUGAUUCUGUCAUAAAAUCAUCAUGGAUAUACAUGCAUGACAGAAAACGUGACCUAUUGUGACAAACACGUAUCAUCACAGAAGUGCAUUUUUUGUAGUGAGUAGCACCAAUUGCCCCGGUGCACCAGAUACAUUCCCCGCCAUCAUCAUCAUUUUCUAAAGGUUCAGGAUGGGGGCAGUGGUGGACGGCGGUGGUGGUGGGGCGGUGAGGCUGCCGCGGGAGCAUCGCCAAAAAUGGGCGGUGGUGGCUGGCGGUCCGGCCUAUGGUCCGUGGCGGCAAGAAGAAGAAAUCGUCGAGAGAAAAAAGAUGCACUAUGAUAUGUUUUCAGAAAACUGUUGUAGGUAGAAGAUGACUGCUGACUUUUAGAUUAGAUAUCAAGGGUAGAGAACCAUCGACUGACCCAAAUUGGGAUUUUAGUCGACUAGCACUUAGCUAACCCCUACACUUUUUUUAGCUAUAAGAGUGGUCAUUCUUGAUCAAUUUUGAAAGGUACAAUUGAUACAUCCCAAGGCUUGCUGAGCCAAAUAAAAGGACCACUAUCGAGUGAUAAAAUGCUCCGAACUAAAUUAUGGGCAUCUACAUUUGAAGCUUACUUUUCGUGGACGUAGAUCACCUCCCAGAAUCCAUUCUUCCGUUCUUGAAUCUCCCUGAUCACCGAGCUAUAAUGGCCAAGUUCGCCUUUGUUGAGAGCAUCACAACCGAGCUAGAGAUUACUCUUCCAAUACAUGGUGUGAGGUCCGCACCAGUGAGAGAAGCCCCGUGUUGGAUCUUGCCUCCUACUGGUUACAUGAAAUUCAAUGUGGACGGCAUAACUUGACCAUGGGAGGUGUCCGAACCUUCUAGAUGGUCUUGUUCAUGGUAGUCACCGUGGACCCGAAGAAUUGGAUCCUAUAAGCAGAGGCUGCCUAAUACUUUCCAUUUGCCUCAAAUUUCCAAAAGAUGACGUCAUCAGCGCCCAAUUAAAGUUGAAACUGCUCGAGACGAACCCAAGGAUCAUUCCACACAACCCAAGGCCAUCUCAGUGUGAGAGCUCUCACAAUUUUUCCUAAGUGGAGGAUCCCAAGCCCACCAAUGAGGGUGCGGCAUCAGGCAAACUCCAAGCCGACCUUGCAUUUUGCGCGUGAAGUUUUAUCUUUUUUUAGAAGAGGGGGAACACCCUCAGCUCCGCAUCGAGUGAUGCACACAACCAUUUUUAUUUUAAAAAAAUGCAAGUUUCAACAUCCGAGUUUGCUACUUGUGAGUUGCGUUGGGAUUUCCUCGAAGAGGAGGGGAUGAUGCAGUACAGUAGAGAUAAGUAUUUCCCUCAAUUAUGAAACCAAGGUUAUCAAUGCAGUAGGAGAACCAAGCAACACUAUGUAAACAACACCUGCACACAAGUAACAAAUACUUACAACCCAACGCGUAGGUUGUCAAUCCCUCAACGGUAUUGAGAUAGAUUAAAUUGUAUAGGAUUUGAUAAAUAUAUCUAACUAAAACACCAAAGAAAAUAAAUAAAAGAAAAUUGCAGCAAGGUAUAUUUGGUUUUACUAUAUGAUAGAAAAUAGACCUGGGGGCCAUAUUUUUCACUAGAGGCUUCUCUCGGGAAAAUAGCAUAUGGUGGUAAACAGAUUACUAUUGGGCAAUUGAUAGAAAAGCAAAUAAGUAUGAUGAUAUCCAAGGCAAUGAUCAUGUAUAUAGGCAUCACAUCCAAAAUUAGUAGAACGAAACGAUUCUGCAUCUACUACUAUUACUCGUUACAUCGACCGUUAUCCAGCAUGUAUCUAGUGUAUUAAGUUCAUGGAAAAAUGGAGUAAUGCAUUAAGAAAAAUGACAUGAUGUAGAAAAGAUAAACUCACGUAUGAAUAAACCCCAUCUUGUUACCCUUAAUAGCAACGAUACAUGCGUGUAAUGUCUCUUUCUGUCACUGCGAUUGAGCACCACAAGAUCGAACUCAUCACAAAGCACCUCUUUCCGUGACAAGAUAAAUCAAUCUAGUUGGCCAAACCAGACCAAUAAAUCGGAGAAGAAAUACGAGGCUAUAACAAUCAUGCAUAAAAGAGUUCAAAGAAAACUCAAAUAAUAUUCAUGGAUAGAUCUGAUCAUAAACUCAUAAUUCAUCGGAUCCCAACAAACACACCGCAAAAAAAGAGUUACAUCAAAUAGAUCUCCAAGAACAUCGAGGAGAGAACAUUGUAUUGAAGAUCAAAAAGAGAGAAGAAGCCAUCUAGCUACUAACAGACCUGUAGGUCUGUUGUAAAGUACUCACUCAUCAUCGGAGGGGCAGCAAGGAUGAUGAAGAACCCCUCUGUAGUCGCUGCCCCCUCCGGCAGAGUGCCGGAAAAGUCCUCUAGAUUGGAUCUCGUGGUUCUGGAACUUGCAGCGGCAAAAAAAGUAUUUAGUCGACUCCCCUAGGGAUUUGGGAUUUUAGUGUAUUUAUAGAGGUGGAGGUAGGUCAAGGUGGUGCUCGUGGGCCCCACUACCCACCAGGGCGUGCUAGAGGCGCCUGGCGCACCCUGGUGCCUAGUGGGCCCCAUGAGCCUCUUCUUGUGGGUUCCAGAAGCUUCCAGGGUCUCUUCUUGCCGAAAAAAAACUCAAAAAAUUUCGAGGCAUUUGGACUUUUUGGUAUUGAUAUGCUGGAACGUAAAAAACAAGCAAAAAACAGCAACUGGCACUUGGCACUAAGUUAAUAGGUUAGUCCGAGAAAAUGAUAUAAAGUUGCUGGUAAAUGUAUAUAAAACAUGGAAGAUUAAUAAAUAAUAAUAUAACAACAUGGAACAAUCAAAAAAUAUAAAUACGUUGGAGACGUAUCAGCAUCCCCAAGCUUAAUUCAUGCUUGUCCUCGAGUAGAUAAAUGCUAAAGGCAGAACUUUUGGAAUGUUAUCAACCAUGUUCGUCACAUAUUCUUUUCUUUUGUAGCAUGGACAUUUGGACUUUAGAUGAUUCAAACCAAUAGUCUAUAAUUUUACAUGAAAGCAUCAAUACUCAAGCAUAUCAACAAGCAACCAUGUCUUUCAAAAUAUCAACGCUAAAGAAAGCUAUCCCUAGCCCAUUAUGCUCAAUCAUUGAUCCAUUUAUUAAACACACUCAGAUAUUAGCUACAUCCAAUGCACAAGUAUGAUAAUGGUGUUCCAUAGUUGGUUCUUUAUAAGAGAAGAUGGAGAUUCAAUUAAAAUAAAAAUUGCAUAAAAGUAAAUAUAUAGGCCCUUCAUAAAGGGGAGCAGAGAUUUGUAGAGGUGCUAGAGCUCAUAGCUUAAAUUGAGAGAUAAAAUUGUUUUGAGAGGCAUGCUUUUCCUGUCAACGAAAACGACCGAGAAUUUCCAUUAUCUUCCAUGCUAGAUAAAAUAUGAGCGGUUCCCAAACAUAAAAUAAAGUUUAUUUCCUUUCCACCACUAUUUCACAAUCCAUGGCUAGCCAUAUCCACGGGUGCCUUCCAUACCAACACUUUCCAAGGAAUUUAUUAUUUGACAACAUAAAGUUUUUUUUUUCAUUUCAGGACUGGGCAUCCCUAUAACCUGCCACACUCUCGUGCAAUGACAAGUGAAUAAACACUCAUCUUGAGAAUAGCAUACCUAGCAUGGAAAAUAUUGGCCACCCCCUGCCUCUUCAUGAGUGGUACGGACACACAAAAAGGAAAUUCAUUUUGAAAAUUAGAGUUGGCACAUACAAAUUUAUUUGGAACAGCGUCGAAAUACCGCAUAUAGGUAGGUAUGAUGGACUCAUUUGGCACAAUUUUGGUUUAAGGAGUUGGAUGCACAAGCAAUAGUUUCUCUUAGUAAAAUGAAGGCUAGCAAAUAGAUUGAGAAGCGACCAACCAAGAAACAAAAAUGAUCAAAUACAAGCAUUAAACAUAACUAACACUGAAUAAUGCACCACAAGUAGGAUGUAACUUCGUUGCAUAACUAUUGAGUUUCGUGCUUGCAUAGGGAAUCACAAACCUUAACACCAAUAUUCUUACUAAAGCAUAAUUACUCACCAACAUGACUCACAUAUUACUAUCUCCAUAUCGCAAAACUAUUGCAAGGAGUCAAGUUUAUAAUAUCCAAUGAUCUUCAUGAAAGUUUUUAUUAUCCCUCUUGAAUAUCUAUAAAUUUGGGACCAAAUUCACAUCUCGUGCAAAUUACCGUUACUAUUUUUAACUCUCAAAAAGAUCUAACUGAAGCAUGAGAGCAUAAAUAUUUCUUCAAAAAAAUUCAACUCUCAAAAUAAUAUAAGUGAAGCAUGAUAGCAUAUUUCUUCAAAAUUCUAGUAACUCUCAAGAUAAUAUAAGUGAAGCAUGCAAGCAUAUUUCUUUAAAAUUUUACUAAGUCUCAAAAUAAUAUAAGUGAAGCGUGAGAGUAUUUCUUCAAAUUAAAACACCACCAUGCUAAAAAAGAUUUAAGUGAAGCACAUAGAGCAAUUGCCUAGCUCAAAAAAAAUUUAAGUGAAGCACGUAGAGCAAUUGCCUAGCUCAAAAAAAUUUAAGUGAAGCAAUUCUAACAAAUCAUAAUAUCAUUAUGGAUCUCUCAAAUAGGUGUGUCCAGCAAGGAUGAUUGUGAAAAACAAAAAAGAAAAAUAAGCAAAGACUCAUAUAAUACAAGACGCUCCAAGCAAAACUCAUGAUAUGUGACGAAUAAAAAUAUAGCUCCAAAUAAAAUUACCGAUGGUCGUUAGAAGAGGGGAUGCCUUCUAGGGAAUCCCCAAGCUUAGUUGGUUGGAAGUCCUUGAAUAUUACAUUGGGGUGCCUUGUAUAUCCUAAGCUUAGGAUAUUUCCACUCCUUAUUCCUUCAUCCAUUGUGAUCUCACCCAAAACAUGAAAACUUCAAUCACACAAAACUUAACAAAAACCUUCGUGAGAUCCGUUAGCAUAAUAAAGCAAAUCACCACUUUAAGUACUAUUGCGAACCCAUUCAUAUUUUGUUAUUGCAUUAUACCAACUAUAUUCUAACUUUACCAUGGCUUUAUACCCCCUCAUAGAUACAUCAAAAUAAGCACACAAUGCAACGAAAAUAGAACCUGUCAAAAACAGAAUAGUCUGUAGUAAUCUGAACUUUGACCAUACUUCUGUAAUUCCGAAAAUUCUGAAUAAUUAGGACAACAUGGGAAAUUUUGUAUAUCAAUCAUAUGUAAAACAUUCAGAAUUUUAUCACACUCUAGCGAAUUUUAACAAUUCUGCUACUGGACGCAAAAGUUUUUGUUAAUGCACAUAAUCAAAUCAAUUAUCACCCAAAUUAUGCCAAAGGCUUUACUUGGCACAAACACUAAUUGAAACACUAAAACACAAUCAUAAAAGUAGUAUAAUUUCAUAUUUAUUGAAGAACGGAAAGGGAAAGAGGAUAACUAUUGGGUUGCCUCCCAACAAGCGCUUUUGUUUAAACCCUUUUAGCUAGGCAUUGAUAAUUUUAAUGAUGCUUGCAUGAAAGAUAAUAAUUGAAACACAAAGAGAUCAUCAUGUAGUAGUCAAGAACAUAUUUAAGUCUAAGAUACUUCCUAUGCAUAGCCAUUUUAUAAGCAAUCAAAUUAUCAAGGCAAGCAAAAACUAGCUUAUGCAAGGAAGAAGAAAGAAACAAUAGCAAUCUCAUCACAACGAGAUGUAAUUUAGUAACAUGAAAAUAUCUACAACCAUAUUUUACUCUCUCACAAUAAUUACAAGUAGGAUCAUAGUCAAAUUCAACAAUAUAGCUAUCAUAUAAAAUUUUCUCUCCAUGAUCCACAGGCAUAAAAAAAUUUACAAUCUUCCAAGGUAGUGGGAUUAACAUCAACUAGAGUCAUGACCUCUCCAAAUCCACUUUUAUCAAUAAAUUCAUAAGAUUGAACAUUCUAAAAAUAUGUGGGAUUAUUUUUACUUGGAGUUGACGCUCUUCCAAACCCACUUUCAAUAAUAUUUCAAACAUUAUUAUCAAUUUCAUAUUCAUCAUGAGGCUUAAAUAAAUUUUCAGGAUCAUAAGAAGAAUCAUCCCAAUCAUGAUCAUUACAAUAAGUAGUGGACAUAGCACAAUUAACAUCCCCAAGCUUGGGGUUUUGCAUAUGAUUAACACGAUUGACACUAAUAUAAUUUAUAAUAACCUCAUUGCAAUCAUGCUUUUCAUUCAAGGAGCUAUCAUGAACCACUUUAUAAAGUUCUUCUUUUAGCACUUCAUCACAAUUUUUAGAUUCACAAAUUUCAAUAAAAAACUUCAUAAAGAAAAUAUAGUGCACUUAACUCACCAGUAAUUGUUUCUUGUAUCUUUUAAAAAGAUUAGCAAGUGGAUGAGGGUCCAUAAGCUUUUUGCUUUCUGAUUUUCAAUAAACACACAAUUAUGGCAAACAAACAAGCAAAGCAACAAAGUAAAAUAUUUUUGUGUUUUUUAUAAAACGUUUUAGAAGUGGGAGAGAUGAAAAUGAGAGGCAAAGUCAAAUAAGGAGUUGAAAGUUUAUGCGUAGGUCCUUGAUAGAUGUUGAUGAUGUCCCCCGGCAACGGCGCGAGAAAUUCUUCCUACUACUUGUGAGCUAUGUUGGGAUUUCCCCGAAGAGGAGGGAUGAUGCAGUACAACAGAGAUAAGUAUUUCCCUCAGUUAUGAAACCAAAGUUAUCAAUCCAGUAGGAGAAUCGAGCAACACUAUGUAAACAACACCUGCACACAAAUAACAAAUACUUGCAACCCAACGCGUAGAGGGGUUGUCAAUCCCUCAAUGGUAUUGAGAUAGAUUAAAUUGUAUAGGAUUUGAUAAAUAGGUCUAACUAAAACACAAACUAAAAUAAAUAAAAAGAAAUUGUAGCAAAGUAUUUUCCGUUUUAAUAUAUAAUAAAAAUAGAGCCCGGGGCCAUAGUUUUCACUAGAGGCUUCUCUCGAGAAAAUAGUAUACGGUGGGUAAACAUAUUACUGUUGGGAAAUUGAUAGAAAAGCAAAUAAUUAUGAUGAUAUCCAAGGCAAUGAUCAUGUAUAUAGGCAUCACAUCCAAGAUUAGUAGACCAAAAUGAUACUGCAACUACUGCUAUUACUCCACACAUCGACCGCUAUCCAGCAUGCAUCUAGUAUAUUACUGAGUAAUGCAUUAAGAAAGAUGACAUGAUGUAGACAAGAUACACUCACGUAUGAAUAAACCCCAUCUUGUUACCCUUAAUAACAAUGAUACAUGCGUGUCAUGUCUCUUUCUGUCACUGAGAUUGAACACUGCAAGAUCAAACCCAUCACAAAGCACCUCUUCCCAUGGCAAGAUAAAUCAAUCUAGUUGGCAAAACCAAACCAAUAAAUCGGAGAAGAAAUACGAGGCUAUAACAAUCAUGCAUAAAAGAACUCAGAGAAAACCCAACUAAUAUUCAUGGAUAUAUCUGAUCAUAAACUCACAAUUCACCGGAUCCCGACAAACACACUGCAAAAAAAGAGUUACAUCAAAUAGAUCUCCAAGAACGUCGAGGAGAACAUUGUAUUGAAGAUCAAAAUUAGAGAAGCGCCAUCUAGCUACUAACUACAGACCCGUAGGUCUGUGGUAAACUACUCACGCAUUAUCGGAGGGACAUCAAGAAUGAUGAAGAACCCCUCCGUGAUCAUUGCCNNNNNNNNNNNNNNNNNNNNNNNNNNNNNNNNNNNNNNNNNNNNNNNNNNNNNNNNNNNNNNNNNNNNNNNNNNNNNNNNNNNNNNNNNNNNNNNNNNNNNNNNNNNNNNNNNNNNNNNNNNNNNNNNNNNNNNNNNNNNNNNNNNNNNNNNNNNNNNNNNNNNNNNNNNNNNNNNNNNNNNNNNNNNNNNNNNNNNNNNNNNNNNNNNNNNNNNNNNNNNNNNNNNNNNNNNNNNNNNNNNNNNNNNNNNNNNNNNNNNNNNNNNNNNNNNNNNNNNNNNNNNNNNNNNNCUAGAUUUGAUCUCGUGGUUUUGGAAGUUGCGGCGGCGGAAACAAUAUUUCGUCAACUCCCCUAGAGUUCUUGGGAUUUUAGAGUAUUUAUAGAGGCAGAGGUAGGUCAAGGCGGUGCCUAUGGGCCCCACUACCCACCAGGGUGUGCCAAAGGCCCCUGGCGUUCCCUGGUGCCUAGUGGGCCCUACGAGCCUCUUCUCGUGGCCUCCAGAAACUUCGAGGGUCUCUUCUUGUCAGGAAAAAUCUCCAAAAGUUUUGUGGCAUUUGGACUUUGUUUGGUAUUGAUAUUCUGCAAAGUAAAAGAACAAGCAAAAAACAACAACUGACACUGGGCACUAAGUUAAUAGGUUAGUCCCAAAAAUGAUAUAAAGUAGCUAGUAAAUGUAUAAAAAACAUUCAAGAUUGAUAAUAUAACAACAUGGAACAAUAAAAAAAUUAUAGAUACGUUGGAGACGUAUCGGAGUUCAAUAGAGUUCAACAAAUAAAAUGCCACAAAUGGCUGUCCUAAGGGCAAUAAAAAGACAUAGGAAAAUGAGCCUCAUACCUAGAGUUUAUCCUUAGCUGACCAGAGGAAAGGCACACUCAAUCUUGUUGUUGUGUAACACAACAGGGGCCGUCGAGGGGGUGAUGUGGUAAAUGACUUGUGAAGUAAGGACCGACUUAGCCAAAGCCGCCCGAGCGACCGUGGUGAUGUUUCUCCCUUGCCAGGGAGGAAGCUUCCGAGAAUGCUAGAGUCUUCAAGAAGAAAUCAAACGCUGCCCUACUGCAUUCUUGAGCUUAUUCAAGACCCGACCAGACUUUGGAUCACCGCGGCGGCUAGGCACCUUAGUAUCAUCAUGCCGCGAGAGUAGCAGUUGUUGUUUUCGUUUCAAAGGAUCUUCAGGCACUUGCAAAGGAUCUUCAGGCACAGAAAAAUUGCUACCGUUACAUAGAUGAUGGAUCCUGAACAUCAUGUGUAAAUGGGCAAUACUUACGUGAUGGUUUUUAUGGCUAGUAGUUUACAUACUGGACGACCCAUCUAGGGAGGCGCUACUAAACUCCGUUUUAGCCGGUUCUGUAAACAUUUUAGAAUGUUCCGCGCCAGGCUUGUUGUUUUUGUUUUAGUUCUUAUUUUGACUUUGAUUUCAGUUUUAUUUUUCUUUGUUUCUUUUUCCAUUCAUGAAUAUUCAUAAAUUUUUGCUCUCUUUUUAAAAAAUAAAAAAUGUCAAAUUUGUGAAUAUUUUUAAAUUCAUGAUUUUUUUCAAAUUCAUGGACUUUGUAAAAUUCACAAAUUUCUUUCAAAACCAAUGUAUUUUUUAUUGUGCCAUUUUAUGAACUAGCAGAAAAAGGUGCACAUUUUUCCUAAGCUAGUUUUUUACACUUUUCCUAAGCUAGUUGACUAGCCAUAGACAAGCGAAAAAAAAUCAACAAACAUGCCGAGCCAAAAUCCGAUUUGUCUCCUUCUGCGUUGUUUAAUUUGAUUCUUGUAGANNNNNNNNNNNNNNNNNNNNNNNNNNNNNNNNNNNNNNNNNNNNNNNNNNNNNNNNNNNNNNNNNNNNNNNNNNNNNNNNNNNNNNNNNNNNNNNNNNNNNNNNNNGCCGGCCCAUAGAGCUGUGUGGUUUUUCCUUUUUUUUCAUGAAUUAUCUGGUUUAAAAGAUGUGAACGAUUGAAGCUAGUGAAGGUAAAAUAUAUUAGUGCAUUUCUUUGGGAGAGAGAAGGGCAGCGCAUAACAUGAUUGAAAAGAGUAAUGCUAUCGACAAAGGUUAAUAAUAGGUAAUAGGUGGAUGAAGGGGCAAUAAUACUAGACGUACAGGCAGAUUGAUACAAGACUUUACAGGGAGAGAACGUGGUCUCAUCUAAUUGGCCUUCACUGGUGGGCCCGCCCUCCUAAUUAAAUCUCCUCUCGUACGUCUAGCAUUGCUCAUGAAGGGGCCCACCUCAAUUCAGGGGGAGGGAGAUAAUUAGUUUGGGAAGUUAAGUAAAAUAUUUGUAGAAUUUUGUAGGUCUAGCAGUAUAUUGGACUGAAAAACAUGUGACCUAUUGUAUCAUCUAUCACGUUAAGAGUGUAUUGCAGUUAUUUCAUUUGAGUAACAGUUCCGCUUAUAUUUCAUUUGAGUACAUUAUUCUGGCCACCAAUCUUGAGCACUCGAUGAAGGGUCCGGGAUCUGCCGGCACUCAAUUUUCCGCUUUCAUAAGCUACACACUACACAGAACCGGAGGGUGAGGGGGCGGGGUAGGAACUCGCGCAGUCUGCUGGGGCGAAGGUCACGGUGCCCUUGUCGAGAUCAUACCCAACGUGCAUGUUCUGCUGGGCGAUGUUCCCGAUGAUCGACGCCGGUAACUGCUCCGACAUCGCCGCCACCGCCAAGCACAGGAUCCCCUCCUGCACCUCCACGAACGUGUUCUCCGCCUUCAGCGUGACCGCAACGCUGCCGCCCAGCCCCAGCGUCACGUCAGGGAUCAUGGCCGCAACCUGCCCCUCCCGCACCCUGCUCACGUCGAAGCACAGCGGCAGGAACUUUUCUGGCGACUGGGCAGGCGGGAGCUUGAUCCGCCGUGUCAGCUCCUUCACAAGUGGGUCUAAAAGCGCCUCCGGGAGGUAUGUGAGCGUCGUGCCGGAGUCGACGAUGACGGGGGACUGGUCCGGCGCCGCGAAGGUCUNNNNNNNNNNNNNNNNNNNNNNNNNNNNNNNNNNNNNNNNNNNNNNNNNNNNNNNNNNNNNNNNNNNNNNNNNNNNNNNNNNNNNNNNNNNNNNNNNNNNNNNNNNNNNNNNNNNNNNNNNNNNNNNNNNNNNNNNNNNNNNNNNNNNNNNNNNNNNNNNNNNNNNNNNNNNNNNNNNNNNNNNNNNNNNNNNNNNNNNNNNNNNNNNNNNNNNNNNNNNNNNNNNNNNNNNNNNNNNNNNNNNNNNNNNNNNNNUAGCUGCAAUUGAGCCAGAUGAGGUCGCUGCCGGUGUCGGCGAUGGCGACCAUAGGAGUGGGCGGCGUGCCUAUGUUCACGGCCAUCAGGUAUUCGGACGACCUGGACGUGACCUCGGACACGACGCCGCCGUCAGCUGAGGGCGCGUCGACGCGGACGUAGUAGCGCGAGAGCGCCGCGGCGCGAGCCGCGGACCGCCGCACGGCCUCGAGCACGCGGGCAGGCGCGGUGAGCGUCGGGUCGUGGAACGGCGACCUGACCGAGUCACGGUGGAUGAACUCCACGCUAAACCCAUCGCCUCCGCUGACGGCGUACGCCGUGCACGCGCACAGCUGGGCCGUCAGGACGACGGCGGCGAGCAGGAGAGCGCGGGAUACCAUCGUCCGAGGCAUCGUGUCCUAGCUUAACUCCCAAGGAUUAGCUCUACUGGGGUUGCUUUGCUGCUGCUGCUAUGCAGAGGGCAGUAUUUAUAGGCGAAUUUGCGUAAGAUUAUAAUGGCAGAUGGUUAAUGGGGAGACGAAUGUGGUAAGUCGGGAUAUGAUCUCUACUUCUAAUAUAGCAGUUGGUGAAUAGUUUGCCGGUUUUUUUCGCUGGUUUUUUUUCAUCUCACCACUUCGUUGAUUUUAUUUCGCUGGUUUUAUUUCGUCUCCCUUCCACCUGCCUUUUCGCUUCACCACCCACAUAAACCCAUCAGAUUAGUUACCAUAUAUUCGUGCUUGAUCUGGCAGGUGUCGAUUCUAUUUAAUCAUGUAAAUAUUUGAUAAUUAAGAAUUCAAAAAUAAUACCAUAUACAGAAGAUCACCUUCCAAACAAAUCACCCCCCUCUCCGAUUUAUUUCUCCCACCGAUCUCCUUCCAUACUAAUAAAGUACGCAUUACAUUCCUAACGAAGAGAGAAAAUAAAAAAAGAACCUCCCACCCGCACGACCCCUCCCACGCCUCCAGUGCGCCGCCACCCGUCACCACGUUGCUGCGCCGCCACCCCCACCUCCAGUGCCCCGCCACCCACCGCCACGCUGCUGCGCGGCGACGGCAAUCUUCGGCCAGAUCUGGCUGAGGAGGCGAGUAGGAGUUGGAUCCUGUUCCGGGGACGGUGUGGAGAUGAUCUAGGAGGCGCGGGAGGAGGUCCAGCGGCGCGGUUAGCGUCGCCAGCCGCCACGCCGACGCCCACCCUCGCACCGGCAUCACCUGAGGCAAAAAACCGCAUAGACGCUCCUCCUCUCCCGGACAAGGUCUCAAAGGAGACACCGCCGCCGAUCUGGGGAUAUGCCGUCGCAGAUCACCAAGACGCGGCCGUCGCGGACCACCAGGACGUCGGCAGCGGCGGCGCCUCCGAUACGUCAUGGACCAGGACGCGGCCGUCGCCGAUCAGGAACAGGACGUUGCUGUCGCGGAUCCCAGGACACUGCCGGCGACGCCGCCUUAGAUACCCACACCAACCGCCAGCCGGUGCCCACCACAUCGACCAGCUCCAAGGUUUGUUCCUUCUCCUCUUCCUACCUUUUCUCACCAACGAGCAGCACGAGGAUGCAGCAGCGGCCUGCUAAAAAAGAACCAAAGGCCCCUGUUCGUGCAUCUCUUUCUAUGUAUGUGGAUAAAUGGGAGGUUGGGUUAUGCAGUCGAGUUGUUUGAUAAAAUGUGCACAAAGAGCAUGAUCCAUGUCUCUGUUUCUUCAUGAUUAAUUUCUUCCUAUCUUGAGAUGCACAUGAACAUUUUUCAGAUGGUGGUAUGCGGUUUUCUUGGCAGCGGCGUCGGGAUCAGGCUCCAGUUCCCCCUACCCCACAUUGUUGUUGUUGUUGCUGCUGCUCCAGUUCCAAUUCCAGCGAGUGCCAGCGAUGGGGAUGCUCGGAUCGCAGUCCCUGCUCUCAUUUUCCUCCAACCUCUGGUAAGCCUCCUCCUCACCCGCUUCGCCGAAGCGGGAUUCAUAGGUUAGUUUAGUUUGGAAGUGUUCACUGGGCUUGUAUGUUUCAUUCCUAACAUGCUAGCUCCUGCCUAAACACGCAUUAGAGAAUCUCAUGUAUGUAACAGAAGAUACACAAAUGUGGUUUUCCAGGGAGCAUCAGCUACGUCUUAUGUGGGGAUGAACCGAGUGAUAGGAAAAUAUUUUGUUGAAUGCAAUGGGAAGGCGAAAAACGACACGCCUUGGUGAAGCAACUCUGAGAUUCGGUAAGGCUAAUCAAGUCUGCAAUCAAAUCCAAAAGCAGGGGCAGAGAAAAACGUUAAAAAUACUUUUUAGCUAUUGAUUGAAGUGACCGGUAAUUAGUAGCAGGAGCAACAGUUGUAGUAAUAACCUACCUAGGCAUAUUUUCUCUCUUUCCUAUCACAUGGCACAGUGAAUAACUUUAUAGUACAAAUUUGUUCCUUUUUGUGUAUAUGACAAGUUGGCAACUUCACAAAAUACAUUCACAUUUGUUAUUUUAAAUUAUCAUGUCAUGGAGGUUCUCGUUAUUUCGAAUCUUUGGUUGGAACCUUCAUUUUGUGUUAUUAAAUGCACAUGGUAUUCAAUUAUCUCCAUUAUGGUGAGAAGACUUUGAUCUUGAUAUAUCAGAUUUAAGCCUCGUACACCAUAGGAGGUCCUCCUUUUGGUGAUAUUCACUCAUAUGCCAUUUUAAAUUAUCAUGUCAUGGAGGUGCUGGGUAUUUCGAAUCUUUGGUUGGAACCUUCAUUUUGUGUUAUUAAAUGCACAUGGUAUUCAGUUAUCUCCAUUAUGGUGAGAAGACUUUGAUCUUGAUAUAUCAGAUUUAAGCCUCGUACACCAUAGGAGGUCCUCCUUUUGGUGAUAUUCACUCAUAUGCCAUUUUAAAUUAUCAUGUCAUGGAGGUGCUGGGUAUUAUCUUUGGUUGGAACCUUCAUUUUGCGUUAAAUUCACAUGGUAUUCAGUUAUCUCCAUUAUUACCAGUAGCAACUGAAGGAAAUAUGCCCUAGAGGAAAUAAUAAAGUUAUUAUUUAUUUCCUUAUAUCAUGAUAAAUGUUUAUUAUUCAUGCUAGAAUUGUAUUAACCGGAAACAUGAUACAUGUGUGAAUACAUAGACAAACAUAUAGUCACUAGUAUGCCUCUACUUGACUAGCUCAUUAAUCAAAGAUGGUUAUGUUUCCUAACCAUAGACAUGUGUUGUCAUUUGAUUAAUGAGGUCACAUCAUUAGGAGAAUGAUGUGAUUAACAUGACGCAUUCCGUUAGCCUAGCACUUGAUCGUUUAGUAUGUUGCUAAUGCUUUCUUCAUGACUUAUACAUGUUUCUGUAACUAUGAGAUUAUGCAACUCCCGUUUACCGGAGGAACACUUUGGGUGCUACCAAACGUCACAACGUAACUGGGUGAUUAUAAAGGAGUACUACAGGUGUCUCCAAAGGUACAUGUUGGGUUGGCGUAUUUCGAGAUUAGGUUUUGUCACUCCGAUUGUCGGAGAGGUAUCUCUGGGCCCUCUCGGUAAUGCACAUCACUAUAAGCCUUGCAAGCAAUGUAGCUAAUGAGUUGGUUACGGAAUGAUGCAUUACGCAACGAGUAAAGAGACUUGCCAGUAACGAGAUUGAACUAGGUAUUGGAUACCGACGAUCGAAUCUCGGGCAAGUAACAUACCGAUGACAAAGGGAACAACGUAUGUUGUUAUGCGGUUUGACCGAUAAAGAUCUUCGUAGAAUAUGUAGGAGCCAAUAUGAGCAUCCAGGUUCCGCUAUUGGUUAUUGACCGAGAAUAGUUCUAGGACAUGUCUACAUAGUUCUCGAACCCGUAGGGUCCGCACGCUUAAGGUUUCGAUGACAGUUAUAUUAUGAGUUUAUGUGUUUUGAUGUACCGAAGGAGUUAGGAGUCCCGGAUGAGAUCGGGGACAUGACGAGGAGUCUCGAAAUGAUCGAGACGUAAAGAUCGAUAUAUUGAACGACUAUAUUCGGAGUUCGGAAAGGUUCCGAGUGAUUCGGGUAUUUUUCGGAGUACCGGAGAGUUACGGGAAUUCGCCGGAGAGUAUAUGGGCCUUAUUGGGCCAUAUGGGAAUAGAGGAGAGAGGCCGAAAGGAAGGAGGCGCGCAGCCCCCCUCUGGUCCGAAUUGGACAAGGGGUGCGGCCCCCUUUUCCUUCCUCCUCUCCCCCUCUUUCCCCCUUCUCCUACUCCAACAAGGAAGGAGGGAGUCCUACUCCCGGUGGGACUAGGACUCCCCUUGGCGCGCCCCUCCUCGGCCGGCCGCCCCCUCCCCCCUUGCUCCUUUAUAUACGGGGGCAGGGGGGCACCUCUAGGCACAACACAAGUUGAUCUACGGAUCAUUCCUUAGCCGUGUGCGGUGCUUCCCUCCACCAUAUUCCACCUCGGUCAUAUCGUCGCGGAGUUUAGGCGAAGCCCUGCGCCGGUAGAGCAUCAUCAUCGUCACCACGCCGUCGUGCUGACGGAACUCAUCCCCGACACUUUGCUGGAUCGGAGUCCGGGGAUCGUCAUCGAGCUGAACGUGUGCUGAACUCGGAGGUGCCGUACGUUCGGUAUUUCGAUCGGUCGGAUCGUGAAGACGUACGACUACAUCAACCGUGUUGUCAUAACGCUUCCGCUUACGGUCUACGAGGGUACGUGGACAAUACUCUCCCCUCUCGUUGCUAUGCCAUCACCAUGAUCUUGCGUGUGCGUAGGAAUUUUUUCAAAUUACUACGUUCCCCAACAGUGGUAUCAGAGCCUAGGUUUUAUGCGUUGAUGUUAUAUGCACGAGUAGAACACAAGUGAGUUGUGGGCGAUACAAGUCAUACUGCUUACCAGCAUGUCAUACUUUGGUUCGGCGGCAUUGUGAGAUGAAGCGGCCCGGACCGACAUUACGCGUACGCUUACGCGAGACUGGUUUCACCGUUGCGAGCACUCGUGCUUAAAGGUGGCUGGCGGGUGUCUGUCUCUCUCACUUUAGCUGAAUCGAGUGUGGCUACGCCUGGUCCUUGCAUAGGUUAAAACAACACCAACUUGACAAACUAUCGUUGUGGUUUUGAUGCGUAGGUAAGAACGGUUCUUGCUCAGCCCGUAGCAGCCACAUAAAAUUUACAACAACAAAGUAGAGGACGUCUAACUUGUUUUUGUAGGGCAUGUUGUGAUGUGAUAUGGUCAAGACAUGAUGCUAUAUUUUAUUGUAUGAGAUGAUCAUGUUUUGUAACCGAAGUUAUCGGCAACUGGCAGGAGCCAUAUGGUUGUCGCUUUAUUGUAUGAAAUGCAAACGCCCUGUAAUUGCUUUACUUUAUCACUAAGCGGUAGCGAUAUUCAUAGAAGUAAUAGAUGGCGUAACAACAAUGAUGCUACGAUGGAGAUCAAGGUGUCGCGCCGGUGACGAUGGAGAUCACAAGCACAAGAUGAUGAUGGCCAUAUCAUAUCACUUAUAUUGAUUGCAUGUGAUGUUUAUCCUUUAUGCAUCUUAUCUUGCUUUGAUUGACGGUAGCAUUUUAAGAUGAUCUCUCACUAAUUAUCAAGAAGUGUUCUCCUGAGUAUGCACCGUUGCGAAAGUUCUUCGUGCUGAGAUACCACGUGAUGAUCGGGUGUGAUAGGCUCUACGUUCAAAUACAACGGGUGCAAAACAGUUGCACACGCGGAAUACUCGGGUUAAACUUGAUGAGCCUAGCAUAUACAUAUAUGGCCUCGGAACACGGAGACCGAAAGGUCGAGCGUGAAUCAUAUAGUAGAUAUGAUCAACAUAAUGAUGUUCACCAUUGAAACUACUCCAUCUCACGUGAUGAUCGGACAUGGUUUAGUUGAUUUGGAUCACGUGAUCACUUAGAUGACUUGAGAGAUGUCUGUCUAAGUGGGAGUUCUUAAGUAAUAUGAUUAAUUGAACUUAAAUUUAUCAUGAACUUACUCCAGGUAGUAUUUUGCAAAUUAUGUUGUAGAUCAAUAGCUCGCAUUGUUGCUUUCAUAUGUUUAUUUUGAUAUGUUCCUAGAGAAAAUUGUGUUGAAAUAUGUUAGUAGCAAUGAUGCGGAUUGGAUCCGUGAUCUGAGGUUUAUCCUCAUUGCUGCACAGAAGAAUUAUGUCCUUAAUGCACCGCUAGGUGACAGACCUAUUGCAGGAGCAGAUGCAGACGUUAUGAACGUUUGGCUAGCUCAAUAUGAUGACUACUAGAUAGUUUAGUGCACCAUGCUUAACGGCUUAGAAUCGGGACUUCGAAGACGUUUUGAACGUCAUGGACCAGAUGAGAUGUUCCAGGAGUUGAAGUUAAUAUUUCAAGCAAAUACCCGAGUUGAGAGAUAUGAAGUCUCCAACAAGUUCUAUAGCUAAAAGAUGAAGGAGAAUCGCUCAACUAGUGAGCAUGUGCUCAGAUUGUCUGGGUACUUCAAUCACUUGAAUCAAGUGGGAGUUAAUCUUCUAGAUAAGAUAGUGAUUGACAGAAUUCUCUAGUCACCAUCACUAAGUUACUAGAACUUCGUGAUGAACUAUAGUAUGCAAGGGAUGACGAAAACGAUUCCCGAGCUCUUCGUGAUGUUGAAAUCGACGAAGGUAGAAAUCAAGAAAGAGCAUCAAGUGUUGAUGAUUGACAAGACCACUAGCUUCAAGAGAAGGGCAAAGGGAAAGAAAGGGAACUUUAAGAAGAAUGACAAGCAAGUUGUCACUCCCGCGAAGAAGCCCAAAGCUGGACCAAAGCCUGAAACUGAGUGAUUACACUGCAAAGGAAAUGGUCAUUGGAAGCGGAAAUGCCCUGAAUAUUUGGUGGAUAAGAAGGAUGGCAAAGUGAACAAGGGUAUAUUUGAUAUACAGGUUAUUGAUGUGUGCCUUACUAGUGUUUAUAGUAGCCCCUGAGUAUUUGAUACUUGUUCGGUUGCUAAGAUUAGUAAUUCGAAACAGGAGUUACAGAAUAAACAGAGACUAGUUGAAGGGGAAGUGACGAUGAGUGUUGGAAGUAGUUCCAAGAAUGAUAUGAUCAUCAUCACACACUCCCUAUACUUUCGGGAUUAGUGUUGAACCUAAAUAAAUGUUAUUUGGCGUUUGCGUUGAGCAUGAAUAUGAUUUGAUCAUGUUUAUUGCAAUACGGUUAUUCAUUUAAAAUCAGAGAAUAAUUGUUAUUCUGUUUACAUGAAUAAAACCUUCAAUGGUCAUACACCCAAUGAAAAUUGUUUGUUGGAUCUCGAUCGUAGUGAUACACAUAUUCAUAAUAUUGAUGCCAAAAGAUGCAAAGUUAAUAAUGAUAGUGCAACUUAUUUGUGGCACUGCCGUUUGGGUCAUAUUGGUGUAAAGCGCAUGAAGAAACUCCAUAAAGAUGAAUUUUUGGAAUCACUUGGUUACGAAUCAUUUGAUGCUUGCGAACCGUGCCUUUUGGGCAAGAUGACUAAAACUCCGUUCUUCGGAACAAUGGAACAAGCUACUGACUUAUUGGAAAUAAUACAUACCGAUGUAUGCGAUCCAAUGAGUGUUGAUGCUCAUGGCAAGUAUCGUUAUUUUCUGACCUUCACAAGAUGAUUUGAGCAGAUAUGGGUAUAUCUACUUGAUGAAACAUAAGUCUGAAAUAGUUGAAAUGUUCAAAGAAUUUUAGAGUGAAGUGGAAAAAUCAUCGUAACAAGAAAAUAAAGUUUGUACGAUCUGAUCACGGAGAUGAAUAUUUGAGUUACGAGUUUGGUCUUCAAUUAAAACAAUGUGUAAUAGUUUCACAGCUCACGCCACCUGGAACACCACAACGUUAUGGUGUGUCCGAACGUCGUAAUCGCACUUUAUUGAUAUGGUGCGAUCUAUGAUGUCUCUUACUGAUUUAUCACUAUUGUUUUGGGGUUAUGCAUUAGAGACAGCUGCAUUCACGUUAAAAAGGGCACCAUCUAAAUCCGUUGAGACGACAUCAUAUGAACUGUGGUUUAGCAAGAAACCCAAGUUGUCGUUUCUUAAAGUUUGGGGCUGUGAUGCUUAUGUGAAAAAAUUUCAUCCUGAUAAGCUCAAACCCAAAUCGGAGAAGUGCGUCUUCAUAGAAUACCCAAAGGAAACUGUUGGGUACUCCUUCUAUCACAAAUCCAAAGGCAAAACAUUCGUUGCUAAGAAUGGAUCCUUUCUAGAGAAGGAGUUUCUCUCGAAAGAAGUGAGUUGGAGGAAAGUAGAACUUGAUGAGGUAACUGUACCUGCUCCCUUAUUGGAAUGUAGUUCAUCACAGAAAUCUGUUCCUGUGACUACUACACCAAUUAGUGAGGAAGUUAAUGAUGAUGAUCAUGAAACUUCAGAUUAAGUUACUACAGAACCUCGUAGGUCUUCCAGAGUAAGAUCCGCACCAGAGUGGUACGGUAAUCCUGUUCUGGAAGUUAUGUUACUAGACCAUGAUGAACCUACGAACUAUGAAGAAGCGAUGGUGAGCCCAGAUUCCGCAAAAUGGCUUGAGGCCAUGAGAUCUGAGAUGAGAACCAUGUAUGAAAACAAAGUAUGGACUUUGAUUGACUUGCCCAAUGAUCGGCGAGACAUUGAGAUUAAAUGGAUCUUCAAGAGGAAGACAGACGCUGAUAGUGUUACUAUCUACAAAGCUAGAAUUGUCGCAAAAGGUUUUCGACAAGUUCAAGGUGUUGACUACGAGGAGAGUUUUUCACUCGUAUCUAUGCUUAAGUCUGUCUGAAUCAUGUUAGCAAUUGCCACAUUUUAUGAAAUCUGGCAAAUGGAUAAACAAAACUGCAUUCCUUAAUGGUUUUCUUAAAGAAGAGUUGUAUAUGAUGCAACCAGAAGGUUUUGUCAAUCCGAAAGGUGCUAACAAAUUGUGCAAGCUCCAGCGAUCCAUCUAUGGACUGGUGCAAGCAUCUCGGAGUUGGAAUAUAUGCUUUGAUGAGUUGAUCAAAGCAUAUGGUUUUAUACAGACUUUUGAAGAAGCCUGUAUUUACAAGAAAGUGAGUGGGAGCUCUGUAGCAUUUCUAAUAUUAUAUGUGGAUGACAUAUUGUUAAUUGAAAAUGAUAUGGAAAUUCUGGAUAGCAUGAAAGGAUACUUGAAUAAGAGUUUUUCAAAGCAAGACCUCGGUGAAACUGCUUACACAUUGAGUAUCAAUAUCUAUAUAGAUAGAUCAAGACGCUUGAUAAGAUUUUUCAGUGAGUACAUACCUUGAUAAAUUUUUGAAAUAGUUCAAAAUGGAACAGUCAAAGAAAGAGUUCUUGCCUGUGAUGCAAAGGUGUGAAUUUGAGUAAGACUCAAGACCUGACCAUGGCAGAAAAUAGAAAGAGAAUGAAAAGUCAUUCCCUAUGCCUCAGUCAUAGGUUCUAUAAAGUAUGCUAUGCUGUGAACCAGACCUAUUGUAUACCUUGCUCUGUGUUUGGCAAAGGAAUACAAUUUUGAUCUAAUAGUAGAUCACUGGACAUGGGUCAAGAAUAUCCUUAGUGAGGACUAAGGAGAUUUUUUUCUCGAUUAUGGAGGUGAUAAAAGAGCCCGUCGUAAAAGUUACAACGAUGCAAGCUUUUACACCAAUCCAGAUGACUCUAAGUCUCAAUCUGGAUACAUAUUGAAAGUGGGAGCAAUUAGCUAGAGUAGCUCCGUGCAGAGCAUUGUGGACAUAGAAUAUUUGCAAAAUACAUACGGCUCUGAAUAUGACAGACCCGUUGACUAAGCUUCUCUCAUGAGCAAAACAUGAUCAUACCUUUUGGGUGUUAAUCAUAUAGCGAUGUGAACUAGAUUAUUGACUCUAGUAAAACCCUUUGGGUGUUGAUCACAUGACGAUGUGAACUAUAGGUGUUAAUUAUAUACAGAUAUGAAUAUUGAUGUUAAAUCACAUGGUGAUGUGAACUAGAUUAUUGACUCUAGUGCAAGUGGGAGACUGGAGGAAAUAUGCCCUAGAGGCAAUAAUAAAGUUAUUAUUUAUUUCCUUAUAUCAUGAUAAAUGUUUAUUAUUCAUGCCAGAAUUGUAUUAACCGGAAACAUGAUACAUGUGUGAAUACAUAGACAAACAUAUAGUCACUAGUAUGCCUCUACUUGACUAGCUCAUUAAUCAAAGAUGGUUAUGUUUCCUAACCAUAGACAUGUGUUGUCAUUUGAUUAAUGAGGUCACAUCAUUAGGAGAAUGAUGUGAUUGACAUGACCCAUUCCGUUAGCCUAGCACUUGAUCGUUUAGUAUGUUGCUAAUGCUUUCUUCAUGACUUAUACAUGUUUCUGUAACUAUGAGAUUAUGCAACUCCCGUUUACCGGAGGAACACUUUGGGUGCUACCAAACGUCACAACGUAACUGGGUGAUUAUAAAGGAGUACUACAGGUGUCUCCAAAGGUACAUGUUGGGUUGGCGUAUUUCGAGAUUAGGUUUUGUCACUCCGAUUGUCGGAGAGGUAUCUCUGGGCCCUCUCGGUAAUGCACAUCACUAUAAGCCUUGCAAGCAAUGUAGCUAAUGAGUUGGUUACGGAAUGAUACAUUAUGCAACGAGUAAAGAGACUUGCCAGUAACGAGAUUGAACUAGGUAUUGGAUACCAACGAUCGAAUCUCGGGCAAGUAACAUACCGAUGACAAAGGGAACAACGUAUGUUGUUAUGCGGUUUGACCGAUAAAGAUCUUUGUAGAAUAUGUAGGAGCCAAUAUGAGCAUCCAGGUUCCACUAUUGGUUAUUGACCAAUAAUAGUUCUAGGUCAUGUCUACAUAGUUCUCGAACCCGUAGGGUCCGCACGCUUAAGGUUUCGAUGACAGUUAUAUUAUGAGUUUAUGUGUUUUGAUGUACCGAAGGAGUUAGGAGUCCCGGAUGAGAUCGGAGACAUGACGAGGAGUCUCGAAAUGGUCGAGACGUAAAGACUAAAGAUUGAUAUAUUGGACGACUAUAUUCGGAGUUCGGAAAGGUUCCGAGUGACUCGGGUAUUUUUCGGAGUACCGGAGAGUUACGGGAAUUCGUGGGAGAGUAUAUGGGCCUUAUUGGGCCAUACGGGAAUAGAGGAUAGAGGCCGAAAGGAAGGAGGCGCGCAGCCCCCCUCUGGUCCGAAUUGGACAAGGGGUGCGGCCCCCUUUUCCUUCCUCCUCUCCCCCUCUUUCCCCCUUCUCCUACUCCAACAAGGAAGGAGGGAGUCCUACUCCCGGUGGGAGUAGGACUCCCCUUGGCGGGCCCCUCCUAGGCCGGCCGCCCCCUCCCCCCUUGCUCCUUUAUAUACGGGGGCAGGGGGGCACCUCUAGGCACAACACAAGUUGAUCUACGGAUCGUUCCUUAGCCGUGUGCGGUGCUUCCCUCCACCAUAUUCCACCUCGGUCAUAUCGUCGCGGAGUUUAGGCGAAGCCCUGCGCCGGUAGAGCAUCAUCAUCUUCACCACGCCGUCGUGCUGACGGAACUCAUCCCCGACACUUUGCUAGAUCGGAGUCCGGGGAUCGUCAUCGAGCUGAACGUGUGCUAAACUCGGAGGUGCCGUACAUUCGGUACUUGGAUCGGUCGGAUCGUGAAAACGUACGACUACAUCAACCGUGUUGUCAUAACGCUUCCGCUUACGGUCUACGAGGGUACGUGGACAAUACUCUCCCCUCUCGUUGCUAUGCCAUCACCAUGAUCUUGCGUGUGCGUAGGAAUUUUUUGAAAUUACUACGUUCCCCAACAGCAACUCACAAGCACUUUCUAUUAAAUGCACAUGCUAUUUUCUUUUGUAUCAUGUCAUUUUGUGGUCAUUAACAAUCAGAUGGAUAAAACUGAUCUUGUUUUGUGCAUCAUGGAUUUUCCUCAACUGAAUGAGUAGAAACAUAAGUGUGUAAUGUAGUAGCCCCUCAAUUCCAUUGUUAUAAAUAUUAUAGUUUUUCAAUCCUGCUGACCUGAUCGUAACAGUUGUUUAAAAGGAAGUGAUCACAUCACUAUUUAGAUUUUACUUUUUUUUGAAUGCUUGAACAUAAGAUUAGUUCCCCCCCCCCUUCUUUUUACCCUUCAUGCUAACAUAAUAAAUACAUAUUUUAACUGAAUUGGUUGUAUUACAUAUGCCACGAAGGUUGUCGCCGCUUGAAGCUCGAUUUCCAUCAGCCCCUCUUUUAAUUCACUUGCAUCGUUUCAGCUUUGCAUUGUACUUCUUUGACGAAUUACCUCAUCCAAUCGGCUUUAAUUCGGAGCAUUAAUCUUACUAAUUAUCAUUGCCUUUACUUUCCAUAUGGACCUCUUACAGGAAACAAAGACUCCUAUUUGUCUGUAGAGCAUGUGGAGCUGUUGGGCAAGCAGAGUUCUAUCUGGGUAUUCAGGUAGCUGAGGAUAACAGGGAAAAGGAAAAUCUCCAGGCUAUCAUGCAUACCAUGCAUCUCUAAAGGCUCAUGUGUGAGGUCAGUUCAAUUUUAAUCUCUGGUAAUUUAGUGUAUUCUCAGACCAGUCAACCAUUUAUAGUUUUUCUAACUCACCUUUGUAAAUAUUUGGCACCACAACACUACGUAGUUUCUAUGUUUUAGCUUUGAGUUGUCAAUUUUGUAACUUUGCAGUGUUUCCUUUGAUUUUGGCAUGUAUAAACUCAUAUUUAAUUUCGCGGUGUUCCUCCGAUUUUGGUCAUGAGUCGAACAACUGAGAAUUCGAGAACCAAGUUGCCGCUUAUCACUUCAGGAGAAAUAGGUUGACUGAACCUGUUGACUGUUGUUGUCUUAGUCGCUUGGAUCUUGGGUUCAUUAUAUCUUAUAUUGUUGUGAGCUAUUUCUAAUGCAUUUUGUGAUAUUUAUAUCAUAGUCUGUUCCGAGCUUCAUAGAAAUUUCUAAGGAAUGAAUAGAUAAUGGCAUGCAAAGUUUAACUGUAAUUAUAAGUUCAUAAGGUUUAAUAGGUUCAAAUAUUGGUAGCACAAUAUCUGAUGUUGUCAUGAUGGCGCUUCUGAUUAUAUGCAAGUGCCUGGUUUUCAUACACUCUUCCUUGUGCUGAAGCUUUAAAUACCUAGACCCUCAGUUGUCGGGGAAAUAGUUUGCCAGGCUGAAACAAUCCAAACUUGCAUAGAAUCUAUCUAGAGUAAUCUGGUGAUGUCCUUCAGAGAGCUUGCCUAUCUACUAUCCCAUGACGAGUUAAGUAUCUUCGGAUCCGAGCUUCGCCGCCCAGACCGUGUGAUACCCGGCGAUUUCAUUAGCCAGUGGUUCAUGGUCCAUAAACUUAUCACUUGCCGCUCGCCUUCAGUAAGAUCCUCCUCGCCGAGGCGUUCAUUGCCGAGGCAUCCAUUCGUAGUUUUUUGCCCACUUUGUUUGUUCCUGGCCCUCAUUGUCACGCCGCCAGCACGAUGUCGUGUCUGGCCGCUUGAUUCAUUCGAUGGUGGAGGCGGGUUCAAUUCUUUUUCGUCUUUCGUUUUCUCCCCUUCCCAUGUUCCUCUGUGUUUCUUUUCUUUUCGGAAAGAAGUGAACGUGUUAGGUAUGGGAUGCCGAACCAUGGAUGGACGGGGUUAGCGCCUCGAGGAAGCGACGGUUCUGGUUCUAGGGAGGAAGAGACACGCCAAAUCUUUCCGAUCCCCACGCAUGUGGCUUUGCUGAUUUCGAUUAGCCUCCAUCUCGCUGUUGGGAUGGGGAUGUUUAAUGGAUCCGUGCUUCUCUCGCUUCAUGUGCAUCCAUCCCGUCCUCCUGUAUGUACGUCGUUGACUCGUUUUCCGAGUCUAAUAGAGAAUUGUCUCUGUGUAUGUGCAAUCUACAGCGUACUUUGGGGGAGGAGUACCACCCAUGGAUUGAUCCUUCGCUGGCAGGGCCGGGGCCAGGCCGGCGGUCAUGUCUUUCAGGUUGGCAGCGAGGGAGGAGCAGCAAGGCAAGCUCAUGUUACCCAAGUAGCAGGCCUCCUGUGUCCUGAGUCCUGAUGCCACAGGUAGCUGGAGCUGUUGUUGCCCUUGGUUUAUGCAUGAUGUAUGUUUUGCCUGCCAGCUUUUUUGAUUGGUCCAUCUAUGUUGUGUGAGAUCGUUUGGUGUUGAGAGUCAUGGCAGCGCUAAACAUGUUCUUGUUGCAUAUUGUUUUGAUUUCUUUAAAUGAAUAUUAGGCAUAGCAGUGGCCGAAGGCGGCCGGGUUCUUGCACCUAUCGGAGCUAGAGGAUUCCGUCGCUUAAGCCAAUGGGUGGAAGUCCUUCUUUACAAGCAGCAGCUCCACAAUCGCCUUUGCCAUUGAUGUCAGUGAGUCAGCUAGAUCAAGUUGCCUUCUUGCUAUUACCGCCCUUGUUGUUUCUUGUGUUGCUUUUCAAUGGGAUUGCUUGCCUGGUGUAUUGCACUUUAGGUAUGUAGCCCAGGUUUCCCAUAUGUAAUGUAGAUGCUAGAAGCUCAACCUCGUGUACAUGGUUUUGGGGAGGAGAUCAAGUCAGCAGCUGAUUGAAAAGUUCAGAGAUGAGAAUGACAACUACAUGAAGAAUGUUAUAAGUGGAAUAUACAAAAGAAAUUAUGUUUUCCUUACUGAUGCCUGCAUGCAAGUAUCCUAACCCUGGCACCUGCAUUACUUUAUGUAGAUGCAAAUAUCACGAAGCCACCAGCAUAAGGGUAUAUUUUGUUUAAUUCGGAUUAAUUUCUUAUGAUGUGCCUUUGAGGUCAUUUAUGAUUGGCUACGAUUGGUGUCAUUUAUCUGUUUUUAUGUGAUAGUUAAUAUUUUAUUAAGAUUAGGUUAAAAAAUUAGUCCAGAUUAUAUUUCUUUGAAAGAGAAAAAUGCCAAGGUUGAUAAAUGCCCAAGAUAGGUGCUUGCAUUCUUCAUCCUUCAUGCUUCAAGUAUGUGCUUCGGUAGGAGACUUGCCUCCAUUUGUUUCUCCAGAAGAUGAGGCUGGAUGAGAAAAAUGUGCAUUUUCGGUACCUUUUGCUUCAGAUUCAGAAGAAACAUAUGGUGCUUUUUGUUCUAUACUCGGUUCAUGUCUUAUCAUUUCACGUAUCUUUUCUCUGAACUAUACAUGAUUGUUUGGUCGUUAGAAAUUUCACAACAUUAAAUUCUAGAAAAAUUCCACUACAAUCUUUACUACUAUUGAAAGUGUGUAAUAGUGAGAGAAUAAUAAGCAACACGUCCAGCUGCUAUAAAACAGAAGUGUUAGGCAACGUAACAGAAGUGCUCCUAAGCGGCGUGUCCGACUGCUAUUCUACGGGUCAGAUGAAGAUCUUGGCGCUAUGGCGUGGCAGGAUGGUGAUCAGCGGCAUGGAGGGAGAGCACCGCAGUCGGCAGCAGCACGGCUGGUUGAUCUGUGGCGGCGCAAACAGAGAGAUUUGCGACGCGGCAUGGCAUGCUGGUGUGUAGCAGCAUGGAGGGAGAGCUUGGCUGUCGGCAACAGCUCCGUCGACUGAUAUGCAGCUACACAGAAGUUGGACUGGAAAGCAUAGCCCGUGUGCAUGACAUCCAACCCAGUGGCAUCAUGCCUAGCUAGGUAAGCUUCUCAUUUGUUCCAAUUCUUGCACAUGGUCUUUUUCUUCCUGAACCUGCAAAAAGAGUUUGCCUUGAUUACGAAUAAUAAAGCUUUAAAAGCUGAUGUCCACCGCGUUUAUCUUGCUACUGGUGGUAAUGUGUACAAGUAUGAUUUUAUCGGACCUAUACUUUUACCAUAGUUCCAAAAUAUUUCAUGUAAAUAACUAUACAUGGUACAAGUACUCGAAACUGACCUGGUGUGAUAAUUUAUCACUGCUGCAGUGUGCAAACGACGUGUUUUUUCAUUAUAUUUUAGUUUUAUUUAUCCUGUAAAAUUUAUAGUUAAAUUAUACAUUAUAAUGGUUGAUUUUCAUGGUCAGAGGUAGACAUGGUCGAGUGGCCACGGGGACAAUGGGGGAAGUAGCGUAUGAGGAGUUUAAGAAAUGGGGACAAGCGAUAUUUUAGUUAAUCAGGGCUCUAUUAGUUUGAAGUUUUAUCUUUGUUAUGGUAAAAAAUUAAGGUUAGAUUAAUAUAAUGAAAAUAUUAUUGUGAACUGAUAAAAUUUCUAUAAUUUCUACAAGUACGAGGUCAAGCAUGAAAGUGCAACGAGAAGAGGGGUGGGGAUAAGAUUUGAUAUCGUUUGGUCUUCUUGCAAGGAGUGCAUGGUUAUGAAGAAAUAAUAACUGUCAAGGCUGAAAGAACAAGAGAGAAUAAGUUCUAUUAAUGUAUGGAUGAAAACCACAUGCCACCUUUUCCAACACAUUUCUGAAUUGGGAUAAUUAUUCGAUUGCUGUGUUUUUUUAAUUUCGUGGCAAUGCACAGACAUUCAACUAGAAAAUUCAUAUUUAUAGGUUAGUCACCCACCUUUUUCAUACUAUUUACAUAUUUGCCACUUGUUAGCAAGUUUGCAUAUGAUGCUGGGAAAUUCAACAUAGGGAAGUGAACAUAAGGACAUGGAAAUGUUACACUUCGAAUAUGAUAGAAACUCAAAAUCAAAAUAACAAAUUAGUUGCUCUGUCAGUCGGUAAGCAUGAAAUGUAAGCCUCCUAAAUAAGAUAUUAGCUCUCCCAAUUCUUGAGGCUGGAAAUACAAGCAUCCUUGUAAAUAAGAUAUUACCUAUUUUCAUGAUGGAAAUGCAAGCAUCCAAAAUUAACAACAAUAUUUAUAAAGCUGAAAACAGUCUUGCAAUCUUGGUGUAAGAAUGAAAGGUAAGUAGCAUCCCCGAUUUUGCUAAUUCUUGUGACGUUCAAAUCCAUAUUAGCUAUUUCAGAAAAGAAGAGGUCAGAGGAUCACAUGAUAUAUAUAUACCAUUUUGUAUAUCAUGGCAGUGAAAACACAUUGUAGUGGUCUCCAUCAGCUAUCAUGGUGUGCCUUCCUUGGCACUGGUAAUCACCCUGGGACGCCGUAGUGGGAGAGGAGGGGGAGGUCGAUGCCGUGGAGGGAAGGGUAGAUGACGCUGAGAGGAAGGUGUGGGCUGAGCGCCAUGGCGUGCUUUGAUUUCAACGGCGUCAACGACGAGAGCAAGAUGGGGGAAUGAGAUGUCAGUGUGAACUUUGUGCCAUGCAGUGAGAUAAUGAGACAGUGAAUUGCUUUUUCAAGAAGAAAAGGAAGAUUUUUUUAGGGAAAGCGAUUAUUUGCUAUAAGAGAAAUGUCACAUACUUUUAUAUAGUGAAAAAUAUCAGAUCCCUAACAAGUCAUUUUUAUGAUGGACCAAACCAGAAAAUCAUCGAGUUCUAACAAUCAGUUGAGAUGUAUUCAAAUAAUUAUUUUUUAUAUAUUUCAAUCCAAAUAAAUAUUUUUUGCGCAUGAUAGAAGAGGUGUGUUUCUAUAUAUGUUUACUUUUGUAGAGUAUGAGAGAGAUCAAGAUGGAUUAUGUCGACAUUCAAAACGAAUGCACCAAUAGUCUGUUGAGGCGAUGGCUUUGAAAGACGCAAAUUUUUUACCAAGUUUUAUACAACAAAAGGCCCGUGGCAACGCACGGACAUUUUACUAGGCAGAUUGAUACAAGACUUUACAGGGAGAGAACGUGGUCUCAUCUAAUUGGCCUUCACUGGUGGGCCCGCCCUCCUAAUUAAAUCUCCUCUCGUACGUCUAGCAUUGCUCAUGAAGGGGCCCACCUCAAUUCAGGGGGAGGGAGAUAAUUAGUUUGGGAAGUUAAGUAAAAUAUUUGUAGAAUUUUGUAGGUCUAGCAGUAUAUUGGACUGAAAAACAUGUGACCUAUUGUAUCAUCUAUCACGUUAAGAGUGUAUUGCAGUUAUUUCAUUUGAGUAACAGUUCCGCUUAUAUUUCAUUUGAGUACAUUAUUCUGGCCACCAAUCUUGAGCACUCGAUGAAGGGUCCGGGAUCUGCCGGCACUCAAUUUUCCGCUUUCAUAAGCUACACACUACACAGAACCGGAGGGUGAGGGGGCGGGGUAGGAACUCGCGCAGUCUGCUGGGGCGAAGGUCACGGUGCCCUUGUCGAGAUCAUACCCAACGUGCAUGUUCUGCUGGGCGAUGUUCCCGAUGAUCGACGCCGGUAACUGCUCCGACAUCGCCGCCACCGCCAAGCACAGGAUCCCCUCCUGCACCUCCACGAACGUGUUCUCCGCCUUCAGCGUGACCGCAACGCUGCCGCCCAGCCCCAGCGUCACGUCAGGGAUCAUGGCCGCAACCUGCCCCUCCCGCACCCUGCUCACGUCGAAGCACAGCGGCAGGAACUUUUCUGGCGACUGGGCAGGCGGGAGCUUGAUCCGCCGUGUCAGCUCCUUCACAAGUGGGUCUAAAAGCGCCUCCGGGAGGUAUGUGAGCGUCGUGCCGGAGUCGACGAUGACGGGGGACUGGUCCGGCGCCGCGAAGGUCUUGUCCCCGACCUUGACGGACCGGAGCUCGACGGUGUAGUAUGCCUUCACUUGGGAUGGGAUCAGCGGCGUCGUCGCCGCGCCCGGAUCCGUGACGGUGGCCCGGGGGCCGAAGUUGAGCGC